rnacentral:lncRNA from 1 species
GGGGGGGGAGUGAUUUACAAAGGUGGCAUGACGGAAAUAAACAGUUUGAACAGCCUCCAGGUUAUGAUACAAGAAAAAUUUGGGUCUCUAUGGUGCAUAUAGUCAAGGUUAAUUUAGAAAAGCAAUCUCACCUCACCCAAGCAUCUUUUGGCCCGAUUUAGAAUCAGUCCAAGCUUGGGCAGUGAUUUAUAAGCACGAUAUCCCAACCUAGCCCGACCUAUUAGCUAUAUAGCAUGUAUAUUACACAAAUAUAGUAAAACUAUAAUACUAAAACUUGUCUGUCAUAUAGCUAAAGAUACUAGUCAUUUAUGGAAUUGAUGGGGACAUCAGCUAGGUCCCCAUCUUAUUUGCAUAUUUGUUUAUUUUAUUUCUGGGUUUAUUUGCAUUUAGGGGUUUAUUUGUGGUUUAUUUUAUUUCUGGACUCAUUUGCAUUUUAGGGCUUAUUUGUGGGUUUUAUUUUGUGUAAGGGGUUUUAUUUUAAGUGUUCUUAUUGGGCCCUAUUUAUAGGGAACUUUUAUGUUGAUUAGGGUUAAUGAAUGAUUAAGAAUUUCUUUUCCCUACGUUCUUUCUUCUCUUCUUCUCCUCUCCUUCUCUAUUCUUCCUGCGUCUCUACAACCUCUUCUUCCUUCUCCUUCUCUUGUUCUUCCUUCUUCUCCUCUUCCCCCGCACUGGUGCUACAUCAACUUGGUAUCAGAGCCAGGUUUUNNNNNNNNNNNNNNNNNNNNGGGCUAGAUGUCCAGUAACGAAGGCUAACUGCAAGACCACCUAUAGGCCCCUGCCCAAUAUGUAUCUCUAUUUACAAGCACGCUGAAUCCAAUAAAGAAAAGGUCUUCAAGGCUUUAUUUUGGAUUCAAAAAAGGCUCAGUGAAAUAUAUUGAGACUGCCCAAAGUUUAAGACACAAAGGUGGGGGUUUUAGCUAAAUGCGGAUUCAUUAAGCGUAAAAAAAGCAUCUCCUAUAUGUCCUUCUCAACUUUCUUUCUUCCGAUUUUAAGGUAAGCAAGUCUUUUGGGUUGAUUACACGCCAAAUAGCUACCGUGUGUCCAACAUAACAACUCCCUAACUAAUCUGGAACCAUUUGUUCCAAAAUCUCUUGAAAAGCUUGGUCCAACAUCCAAAAACUUGGUGUUAAUUUAGGUAAUAACUUCAACUUUGCUAGUUCCAGUUGAAAAUUAUCAAAAAGCAUCAUGAUUUUUUAAGAAGAGAAAGAAUAAAUAAAAUUAAAUAAUGAAAGAAAAUAAGUUAAACAAUCAUUUUUGUGGACAUAACUUUGCUUUGGGCCUUUGAAUGUGUCAUUUCAUAGAUUUUGCACCAUGACAAUCAAAGAUGAUUUUUAAAACACAUAUCAUUAAAAAGUCAUGACUAUUAACAUUUGUAUAUCAUUUUAUUAUUUGAUAGCAAUCUAACAGAAGACAAUCUAAACACCUAUAAGAUUUAAGGUUCUCAAUAACCAUAGUUAUGUCAGAAACUUUAGUCUUCUAAACAUCUCUUUGGAUCAUAACAUCUCAAAUAUUCUAAACGGCUGCAAAAAAAAAUAUUUAAUCUAGAGAAAAUGCUUUCAAGAUUGAAAGAAAUACAGAAAUGACAAAAAUUGACAUAGAUAGCUCAUAUAUAAAAUGAUUUUAGACUCAUAAUUUAGUUUAGGCCAAAAGUUUAAGACUGGUCCUAGUUUUGUUGGAUAUGGAGAUGAUUCCAUUUAAGAGUUUUGGGUGAACUUAAAACCACAGCCUUUGUCUUUUGGAGCCUUCCCCUGAUGGGUAUGCCUUUAUAUUGAAAUGCCUGUGAGACAACACACUAUGUUUAAUUAUGAAACAUCUUCCAGCAAAUUUCCUGAAUAAAAGCUGAAAAAUUUAAAGUCAAAAAAUACAUGCAUUCAAUAGUAAGACAACACACUGUUUAAUUAUGAAACAUCUUCCAGCAAAUUUCGUGAAUAAAAGCUGAAAAAUUUGAAGUCAAAAAAUACAUGCAUUCAAUAUCCUUACAGCAUCAAGGAAUUUGUUUUCACCAAAAACCUUUUUUAUUUUUUAGUACCACUCAAAUUGCUUCAUUGGUUGCUACAUUGGUUCUAACACUAGGCCCAUGCGGCCACAACCAUGGUUCUAACAUGGUUCAAAUUGCUAAUAUGGUUCUAACCUUACAUGGUGAGGCCUCACGGGUGCCUUGCAUAAGUCUAGGCUACCUACAUGGACAUCACAGCCUUCCAAGCCUUAGGUGUCCACUUAGGAUAGCCAACCCACAUCCAUUUUGGCGGGCUUAAUGAAUUUGACCCCUUGCAGCUAGUAGUAACAGUGGUGCCAGCAGUUGCAACAUGUGGCAGCUGAAGAGGUAAGGGAUUUUUCCCCUCCUUUUUCCUUCUCCGUUUUCCCCUUUUUAUUCUUUUCUUGUUGGUGAUAUCCCUCAUUGUCAGCAAUAGCUAUGCGCAGCAGUGGUAGUUGUUUUAUGAUCCAUUUUCCAUUCAUUUCUUUCUAUUUCUCUUUCCUGUCACCCUUCUCCAUAUAAUACAAUUUUUUGGAUUUUUCUUUCUUGGGAAUCUUUAAGCUCUGCAUGUCUGACUAGCCAUUCCCAGUCCCUAGUUGCCCCUCUGCUACCUAAUAGUCUUUUAAAACCUUUAUGACCAAUAUUUCAACUUUAGGAAGACUUACAUGAUUGCACUACCCAAGGUUUAAAAAGUUAGUAUUCAUUUUGGUUUUGGCAGUUUUGCUCCGAGUUUCGGAGUUGUGGUCUAAAAAGUUAGAAAAAAGAAGUUAAUAAAAAUAUAAGACAAGUUUAUCUAAAAUCAUAAUUUUUUCAAUUCGAAUAAUUUCUAGCUGAAAUUAAACUGUACUAAUGCAUAAUCCAUUAAAUAUAUAUAUUUUUCUCUAUGAUUUCAUCUAAUUUUUAUAAUUUUCUAUAAUUUUCUCUAUUUUUGUGAUUUUUCAUAUGUGCUCUAAUUUUUGCAUUAUAAUAAACUUGUCUAAACUUUUAACUUCAAUAAACCACAAGUCCAGUAAACAAGAAAAUUACUGUCCAAAUAAAAAACAAUUCCAUUUCACCAAUUUCAUUUAUUUUGAGAAAGAAUUACACCUUAGGGCCUGGUUGGAUGAUUGGGCUGAAAAUUCUAUUGGAUUCGUGGGUUGGGCCAGUACAACCAGCAAGAUCAUUAGAUUAUAGCUUAGGUCUUUUUUCUCCCUAUAGGAUUCGGGCUGACCAACUCCAAAGCAAUUUCUGGGUAUUUAUGAAUAUAGGCCUUUCCCAGCUUGUAAUCCAAUGAUCUUGCUGGUUGUAUUGGCCCAACCCAUGAAUCCAAUAGAAUUUUCAGCCCAAUCAUCCAAAUAAGCCCUUAGUUGGUUUUAAGAAUAUCUAUCAAAAAUCAUAACUUAGUUUUUCUUUUUCAAAAAUGAUUUAUGUAAAGAAAAAAACUAUAGCAUAACUAUGUUCUCUUAUUGGGUAAAUCAUUUUUGAAAAUAGAAAAUAAAAUAAGUACUCUACAUACCUCUUGCUAAGUUGAUAAUGUACGAUAAUUACUCAACCCGAUGCAAUGUUGAUGUUGUUGACAAUGGAGGAAUAGUAUUUAGGGGAAGAGAUUAGCUCAAGCUUUCUAAUUUCCUAUCUCUCUAGGUGGGAGAGGAAUGAACUUUGUUCAUUCUUUCAAUGUAAAUGGUCCUUAUCUUCCCCCAAAGAUUACUUCCUCAUUUGUCCCAAAGGGCUGAAGCUUUGAAAUGAAAGCUUUCUAUCUUCCCUCUUUUCUUCAACAACGAAGUGCCAAUUGAAUGGAUUAGUAAUUGCUCAUCACAAUUUCAUACAACAACAAGAAGAUUAUAUGAUAUUAAGGAAUAAUCAAGAGGAAUAACCCAAUAAUAACAAAAUGUUUGAUGUAUGGUACUAUGGUAGUUUAAAAAAAUAGAUUUAAAUAAGUCAUUAAAUAAAACAUUAAAAAUAUAAAACAUUUAUAUACUAAACAAAUAAAAAGGAAGAUAGAGUUUCAGUUGGCUUCGGCCAAAAUUGGUCAAACCAAAAAAAAUGGCCAGUUUCAGAUCAAUUUUGGCUGAAAGUUUCAGCUGAAACUUCAAACUUUGACUCUACCAACUUCUGCAGUCUUAAUCCUUCCACAUCAUACAUCAUGAUCCCACCAUGUCCUGCUUUGAAUCCUAUUACAGCAUACUUCCAAAUUAACUUUCUUCUGACCUUUAAGACCUCCUUUUUCUUUUCUAAUGCACUAACCUAUUCCAGGUUUUAGCAUUUAUUUUGCUGGAGCACAUCUUUUAAACUCUUAACUUCUUGCAUAACUUUCUUAAAAUAUUUGGUGAACCACAUACUCCUAAAAAGCAAGUCAUUUCCCAGCACCAAAUCUUCUAAAGAGUACAAUUCGGAUACUUCUCCCUCUCAAACUGUAAUAUUUUUUUUAUAUUUAUUAGCAACUCAUGACCAUAUUUUUUUCAAAUUUCACAAGAAAUUAAGAUUCUUACCUUUUCCUUACUUCUCUCAGAUUUUUGAUGAUGAAGACAUGUUUGUAGCCAAUGCUUUCUCUUUGGUUGAGGGACAGGUCAUAUGCAGUUUCCAGAGGGAAAUCAAUGAUGAUCUCCUAGAGGAAUACUUCAAUGCACUACAACAUCUAAGUAACUUCACCCCUUUGAACAACAUGCUUCCAAAAGAAAUCUCUCAUUUUCUUCAAUCCCGUAAAAAUAUGACACGCAACCAUUUUAGAGCUUGGGCUUGAUAAACCAACUGAAUUAACACCUCCAUACUAGCCUUCAAAGAAAAUUCACUUCCAGCUUAUUAUACCUUUUGUCAUAACUAAUAUGGCCCACAAAGUCAUCUCUUCUCAAUCAAGCACCACUCUUGAAUACUUUCAAGCUACAAUUUGCUAACUGAGUCCUAUAGCUCUAGCCAUAAUUUUUUAAAUAUGUGAUGUAAAACUGCAAAAAGAUCUUGCACUUGAUUUAUCAAAAUAUGUCUCUAAUCUAUCCAGACUUUUACAUCCACGAAUCCCCCAUUAACUUUCUUAAUUUCAUUAUAGUCAAGCUCGAUAUUAAUCCAAGAAUCAUCUGCAUAUAACAAUAGGUAAUUUUUCACAGUUUUUUUUCCAUCAGUCUUGAAGAUACUUCUAAUGAAAGAAGGCCCCCUCUAUUUCAAGCCCUUGCCACUUUGAAAAUGCUUUCUAAUAAUAUUGGUCAAAAUCAAAAAGUUAGUUGUCAAGGGCAUCUCCUUUCACCAGCAAGAUUUUCAACAAACUUAAAAUGUCAUACAUACAAACAUUCUAAAAGGUUUAAAAGGUUACAACCCUAGUAGAAAUAUGAGCUGCUACUUACUUGUAGUGAAUGAAUGAUAAAUUGUUGCUUUCUUUUUCCCCUUUCAAAUGGAGACAAUUUUAUCUUAAAUUUCUCCUGCAUUGUUUUUACUAUGUUACUUCGCUUCAUGCCAACUAUCAUAGGAGUUCUUUGGUAGGUGUGCGUGUGUUUGUAGAGUGGAGAAUUGUGUAUUAACGUGCCUAGCAAGAGGCAGAGGUGAUAUUUCUUUUGGAAUUUAGAAAAUACCAUGGAUAUCAUUACAUGCAUAAUCAGGACUUGGGGGUGGAAAAUUUCUACAAAUGAGUAGCCGUCGAAAGGGUAAGGGAAUUGAUUAGCUUACAUAUUGUAGUAACUAUUUUUUCAUAUGAGGAACCAUGCAAGCAUGUGUUUAGUCCCACGUUGGAUAUGCACGGGGGUAGGUGAGGUCCUGGGUAGUUAGAAGUAUUAUCAUAGCAGACCCGGCCUAUGGCCCAUGUGGACCAGAGGAUGCUGCAGCACGGAUCUAUUUGGAUUAACCACGGACUAUUUGUAGUGUUUGUGAUUGAAUUUGUAGUAUUUGUGAUUGGAUUUGAAUAAAUUUGGACCCUUAGUUUGGUGAGGACGUCGAAGCUUAAACAGGAAGAAUCCAUGCAAGCAUGUGUUUAGUCCCACAUCAGCUAUGCACUGAAUAGAUCUUGGGUACUUAUAUAGGAUCAAGAAACCCAAAUAACAUCUUUUGGCUAGCCUUUUUGGAUGAUGCCCAAGUCAUUACAAUCAAAAUAGGUAUCGUUAAACUAAUAGUGCAUCUAACUAACUUAAGGAUAUCCAUUUUAGAAAUUAAGAUGCACACGUGGUAGCGACGGUGUAAUUCGACCAAGGUGAGUUGUCUUUGAACGAUACUUUCUAGGACGUGAUGACAUGGCGUAGUGCCCAACUGUCAAAAAACUUAGGUGAUUGCAGGUUAAGAAACUUGGGCUUUAUAAGGUAUAGUUAAUAAAAGCAAACUCCUUAAAGUGAAGAGGAGAAAAAUUAGACAUAUGAUGUCAGUGAGGAUCUCCAUAAAGUUCUAUACCAUUUUAACAAUUAUUGGCCUUCAAUAUCAUCCUUGAAACUGAUACAGAACAUUUAUAAUCUCAACUACUUGCUUAGUUACUUCAAAGAAAAAUAAUUCCUUAGCUAACCUUUAGAAGCAGGAUGGGCCAGUACAGUAAAUGUGUGAGUUAUGAGAUAGAGAAAAAAGAGGAGGGCUUUCGAAGGCAUGGUUACUAAACUCCUUCAAGUUAGGAAAAACAUUUGAGAUGUAAGGUCAGUGCAAAUCUCUCCACGAUACCCUAUAACUUCUUGACCAUGUUGACCUCCAAUGUGAGCUUAAAACCUGAUUUAGAACAUUUCUAAGUUCAACUACUUGCUUAGUCACUUGAUAGGAAAUAGUUACAUAACUAACCUUUAGAUUACAAUAUGUCUUUAGCUAUGACUUGUGAGAUAGAAGAGGAGGAUUAUCACUCUUGUACAAUAAUUAUUAUAUUUGUACCAUAUUAAAUGCCCACAAUUCUACACCACAAUCUAAAAGCCUGCAGUUGAAACUUUAGUGUUUGACAAAGCAAAUAUCUAAAAUAUGUAGACAAAAGCAUAUUUGGUGAAAAGCGGCAAAGGUACAAAGGUUACUGAACACCAAUAAAACUUUUAUGUUCCCUUGCCCCUUUUUAUGAUGACUUGAACAGUUCAUUGUAUUAAAGAAAAGCAUGCACAUAGUCGUAAUACUCAUUUGCCUUUUACAAUUCAUAAUUAUCAUCAACCAGAGUUAAAGAAAAAGAAUCAUGAAACACUAGUGUUAUACUGAUCAUUGGAAAGGCUACAAGAGCAUACCCAAAUAUACUGCAUAAAAUGCAUAGUCAGUGCCAUCUGACUAGGCACACCAAUGAGCAAUCAAUGGGCCAAUGAGGACAUAACUCAGUUUCUUCAAACCUAGUAUACCCUAUCAAGUAAUCUAUGAUCGUACCUUUAAGAAAAAUUUCUACACCUUCAGAAGCCAAGUAACAAUAUUUACCAAAUCAUGAUAAAUAUAAGGCUAUAUCCAGAUGGCUUGCUUCCUCCGCAAUCAAACUAAAUCUAAAUGGCAAGCAGCCUCGAAUCUUAUCUAAUUCAUAAUAUUAAUGAAUCAAUGUACACCAAAUAAACAUAUAAUACCCUACUAGAGACUCAAAGAAAGCAUAUGCAAUUGUGUAGCUAGUCAAGAGAUUUGUAGAACCAUAGGUCACAUACAUUGGCUGUUUGCUAGGAAGCUUGGAGAGCAGGGACUCCAAACUAUCAAGUUUAGUCCCAAGAAUUGUUAUCUUCCUCCGAAUGGCAGAUGUAUGACGUUGGGUAUCUGGUCCCGACGGAGGCAGAGAACCUCUUUCAGAAAUCAUGGCACUGAUAUCAUCUGCGAGCUUGGAGGCUUCAUUUAACUCCCUCAACCAUGAAUCUGAAGAGGAUGCCAUCACUGCAUAAAAACAUGAACCAACAUUAGAUUCCACUUUAGAAAGAGAAUAGUCUGUUUAUAUAUUUUAUGAAGUAAUUAUAGAAAAUGAUAACAUGAGAUUUACAAGAACAAGUUCUAGGUAGCAUCACGAACAAAUUAACAAUGAAGUAGCUGAUAAUAUAUAUUUGGAACCAUCGAAAUAAUGAUAGCUGUAUAUCAAAUAUAAGUUAGAUGCCAAUACAACUAUUGAAAUCCGGAUAUCAGAGGAUCAAAGCAAGGAAGUCCACAUAUACAAUAUAUAGACAAUGCUUUGACAAUGAAUGGAAUGUAAAAAGAGGUUUUGAUUGUGAAAAAUUAAAAUAGAUGAGCUAUAGUCUAUAGACACUUCUCCACCUGGUAGCAGACAAAACAACUACCUUGCCAAAGGAUGCUAAUUCUUAUCCUAAAAGCCACUUCAGGAUGCCGAUGCCGUUGAUUCCAUUGUUUGUUCAGUUCCAGAGCUCAUUAAAAGCAAAAUCUUAGUCACACUGUCUUUAGUGGUCAGCUUCUCCUUUUCCCAAUAGUGUCUUAACAUGAAAGGUGAAACCCUUCCAUCUGUGCUGACCUCUUUUGUAAGUGUAAGACGCUUGAUACUGUGCUCCAAUUCUGAGAGAAAACAUCAGAGCUACACAUUCUUAUCUUAUUCUCAAACAAAAUUGAAUUGUUCUCACAACAACAUUCCAGAAAUAUCCAUGAGCUUGCCGCAUUGCUGCUCUUCCUUAAAAUCCACACAGAAUCCUUCAAUACAACGCCAAAGUCUCAUCUUUAACGAAUUACCUGCCAACAAAAUCACUCUCUUUCCAAACCCACCAAAAAAUUCCUGGAACCUGCUUCUCUUCCCCUUCAGCACCAAUUCCUCGUAGAAAACGCCACAAUUUCUAUUCAAAAGUAAACCCGCCUUCUGGGACCAGCAAAUUGGACAUCAAACUCAACUCAUGCCCUAGAAGUAUCUACAAAUUCAGAAUUCCUUCCAAUAAGAAGCAAUGAUUGUAAUAAUUCCCAUCAAUCUCAAACACAAACCUAAUCCUGCAGCUAACUAUCAUUACAACAAGUUCCUCAUCUGAACUCAACUCAAUAAAAACGAAAAAAACAAGAAAAAACCCAAAGAUCGGCAUUCCAAACCAUGACAAUCCCGAGGGAACGAUAAGCACAAAGAAUCGAAGGAUCCGAACAAGAAUUACGCACCUUCCGAUUCGAAAAAGACGAUAGAUUUCUUGCCCCUUUUCGCUUCCCUCGAAUUCUUCCUCUUUUCGCCAGGAGAGAGAAAGGGAAAGAGAGCCUCCGCGAGAAGCCUUGCUGGAUUUUGCCUCGUUGGGGUCCGAGAAACGGAAUACAAAAUCUCCGUUACGUUCCCUCUCGAAUCGUCGUACGUUAUGUAAUCUAGAAACCGGGGGAACCGAUUCUGUCCCGGUCCAUCCCGCCCAAUGCGGUCUGGUCCAACUAGUUAGGGGGCUCCAGAUUGGCUCGCCGUUGGACGAGCCUGAGCGAGCCGAUUGUCGAGCCGAGGCGAACGGCUCGGUUCGUUUGCGCAUAAAAAACCAACUACCGCCCUGUCAACGUUAACGAGGCGGAUUUGUUACGGAAUUUGGUAUCAUGUCGUCCAAGGGAGUCAAGGAGUUUUGUAUGGGACCCUUUAAAUUGUUAAUAAACGUGCCGGCGCCGGCUAAGAGAUGAUCAUUACGUAAUUAUCAUAUAUAAUAUUAAAUAUAUUUUUAAUAAAUUAAAAAUAUAUUUUUUGUCAUAUAUAAUUGUUAUAUUAUAUUAAAUGAAUUAUAAGUGCUAUAUAUAUAUAUAUAUAUUUAUUUUAAUUAUUAUAUAAGUUCUUUUAUAAUUGUUAUAAUAUUGAUAACAAAUUAAAAAUUAUUGUCCUACGGCUUGCAAAUAUUUGCUCCUAUUUUCACUAUUAACUUUCUUAUCCCAUUGAUCUAAUUAAUAUAUGGCUUUCAUCUUACUAAUAAUAAUUUAAAAUAUAAAAAGAAUUUAAAUCUCAUCAUUAAAAAUUAUUAUUCUAUAACCUACAAUUAAUUAAUACAGAGUUUUAAUUAAUACAUUAGUUUAAUUAAUACACAUCUUUCACCUUACUAAUGAUAAUAUGGAAGUGAGAAGGAUUUAAAUUCCUUCAUUAAUAUUAGUGUUCACAUAGCGAGUGGAGAGCAUAGUGCUAGCAAAGCCUUUUUUUUAACCAUUAUACAAAUUGUAGACCUUGCAUUGUAUGGAAUUUGAUUUACAUAUACAGAGUUUGUAAAUGGUGGUAAGUUUUGAUUGAAUUGUAUUUUAUGAGAUUAUAAAAGAAUGGCCUUUUACUAUAAAUCAUAAGUAGCAUAACAAUAUUUUCAUGAAGUUAAAUAAGAAAAUGUAUUUGUUACCUUCAAAUGAAGUGAAGAAUCAUUAAGUUAUUCAUAAAAAAUUUCACAUAAAUUUGCACAAAGUUGAAGUUUGUUAGUAUAUUUUGUUAGGUAAAAGAAGAUGUUCAUUAUUUUAUUUUUUGUUGUGCAACAAAAGUGUUUGGGAACUUGGAGAAUGCCUGGAGAUGAUGAAAAUAGUCUUCUUUAAAGGAUGCUGAAGAACUAGAAAAGUAAUUACUUUCUCAAGAAGGUGAGUGAAGAAGAAAAAGAAAUGUUCCAAGUCUUUCGGGGAAAAAAAAAAGAAAGUUGAGCUCAAGGCUAAAAAGCUAAUGAACGUAUACGAAAGAAAAAAAAAAGCAAUGGCAAAAUGAAAAUAAUCCUUUUAAGACAAGGUUAGUACUAAUUGGUAUUUUGAGAUGAAAGGUUAAAACAAUGCUAAAUCUUCUGCUGCAAUUUAUAUUUGAAAAUAUAUUAAUAUCUCAUCGAUAAAAACUUAGGUUAUUCUUUAGGAAGAAGAAUAAAGGAUGAGUAUGUGCAAUCUCACUUAUCGAAAGCUUUGCACUAAUUUGAUGGGAUAUAUCCUCUCUAUAAGAUCUAUCCAAUGAAAUAAAAAGAAAAAUGCUAUAUGUGCUAUAGAAAAAAGGCUAUAAAAUAUUUUUAUUUGAGUGUUGAACAUAAAGUAGGAACUUCAGGCCUUAACUACAAAAAGAAAAUGAUUGUUCAUGAAUCAGAUAGAAUAUCCAGAUUACAUUCUUUUUUGGGAUUGAUUUUUGGAUGAAUGUUGUAACCUUUUUUCUGUGUCAUUUAGCAAUCACGAUUGGUCUGUGACAUGAAGGAUGCACAUCGAGUCGAGUAUAGAACCAUGUACAUUGCUUAACACCCAAUUGUGCAAGCCUAUCACAGUAGGAAAAAUUUCCCGAAUUGUCCGACAAAAUCGGACGCCAGGCAUGAAAAUCAGUUUUAAAAUUUUAUUUAUAACAGUUAUAAAUAUUAAACAUAACUUUUAUGUAAAACAUACCUCGAUCCCGUAGCGGAAGUUGGUCGAGGUAGGGCGGAUCUAGAUCUUUGAACGUUGCUUCGCGAGGCCUAGAUCUGCAGGCCCUCUACUUCGUGCGCACGCCAAACUUCGUAGGAAGGUAGGAUGGUGUCUGUAUUUUGCAAAACUAGUUUUUGCAAAAGGACCCUAGAAGAAACACUUUUCUUUCUUUUCCUUCUUCUUCUUCCUUCUCUUCCGUAUCUUCACUGUACGUCCGAGAGCUCGGACGCCGAUCACAGAGGAAAGGAAGAAGAGGACACGUUGCCAGAUCUGGAUGCUUACCAUCGGAGAGAGGAUUGAGAGAGAAAAAAUCACUUCUUCUCUCUUUUUCUUCUCCUACAGAACUCCCGUUUAAGCCUCUCUGUUUCGUGAGUUUUAUACACAGACAGAGACUUCAAUCUUCACUAAUCCUCUCUAGUUUUUUUCUCUGAUUCACUCACAAUUCAUCUAUAAAUCGAGAGGAAACGGUGGCUUACUUAUAGGCCAAUGCUGAGAGGAUUUAAUCGGAGUAAUUGAUUGCCUUUACGAAUCCAUACGUUAUGAAUUCAUAACGUUCGUUUCAAAAACAAACGUGGGGAAAAACAGUAAAUCCAUCCGAUAACAGCCGAAUUUCAAAAAUCAAAUUGAACCGGAAUGUAGCUGGUUCAAAAAAACUGGACAUUCUGAUCCAAACGGCAAGUCGAACGGAGUUCGGAUGGUGACGUGGUGUGGAGACGAAGCCGGGAGGAAGAAGGCUCUGUUUUCUCCUCCCAGGCUUUUCUCCAUCGCAGCUCACAAGAAACCUUAAGGGUCCAUGGGAAAAGAGAGUUAAGGGUCCAUGUGAGCUUUGGUCUAUGGGUCCACAGGUUAUUAAAAGUUGGAUUGGGUCAGCCGGUUCAAUUAAAUGGGUUAGCCUAAUUGAUUCACUUGGUUCUAAACCAAAUUGAUGGCCCAAUUGAAUGAUUUUUUGAUCCGAAAAAAUUCCAUAUGAGUCCGACUCAUGGGAGGUUCAAUUGGGUCCAGUCUCGGCUCGAUCCAAGUCCACUUAGAUCAAAACAAAUACGAAAUUAAAUCCCAAUUAAAUCAUGAUCGAGUCCAAUUACACUAAUUAAGACCCAAUCAAACCCAAUCUCAACAAUUGAGUCUUGAUCAUGUUUAAUUACAUUAAUUGACACUUGAUCGACCCUGAAUACAGACUUAAUUAGUUCUUUAUCCAUUAAAUUUAGUAUGUACCUCAUGUUCAGUGCUAGCUGAACAUAGACAGGACCAAAUUUCAAAUGAUCCACAAUUUUAAUUCUUAAUUAAAUUGGGUCAAGACCUUCCUACUUAGCUUGACUAAUAUGCGUGACUUCGAUAAGUUCGAAUACUAAGCUGGUAGUAUAUGGACUAGUCCAUGCACUAAUCGAGGUGACCAUCUAGCAAUGAUACCUGACGUUUGGGUAGAUCGAAUAUGCAAAGCAACAUUCAAGAACCUAGACGUAUGGUUACUGCAUAAUUCAUCCCUAUGACUAUCGAGGCUCAAGAUGACCUCAGAGUGGACUGUCGACCUCUGGGUCCGGUCAUCCAUAGUGUAUUUCAAAUAAUCAAAUCAAGUGACCUAUCACUUGGUUUAUCCUAGCCAAGGUUUUACUGAAUUGAAACACAACAAGACAUCAACUUCUAUAAUCUGGAGCGGUCAAUCCCUUCUUGACUCAUACACAGACUUCGCGAGUACUUGACUGCACCCAGCAUCCUUCCGACCCCUGAAUUAAAAAUUCAGGUCGUCUAGUGCCUAAGUACAGUGAGUUGCUUGCAAGUCACUGUGAUAGUCUUAGGUCUAAGGGGUACUUAUGCCCAUACGCUUUGCGAGCUAACUUCCGACAGUGGAGUGCUCUGCAGGUGAGUCACUGUUCAGUGAUGAUGUACUCCUACAUCUCACCUGUAUGCCAUACAGUGUCUCCACACUCCUUGUUUAAGAGGACAAUCAACUAAAUGGCACACAACGACUUAUACUUGACAUAGCUAUUGUCCAAUUGAUAGCUCAUCAUUUGGUCGCAAACUGGUUUAAGGACUAAAUGAUAAAAACCUCCUUUAUCCACUAAAUUAGUCCUAAGAACUUUAUCACAAUACACAGGAGUUCAAAUUGAAGAUGAAACACUUGUAAUAAAUGAAAAAAUGCCAAAAUAAAUUUUAUUCAUUUUAAUAAAACAUAUACAAACUCCAAUUUCUUACAAUUAACAAAAAAUUGGCUUUGGGACACAAUUUCCAACAAUCACUAGAUGGCAAAAAGAGAACAAAAAGAACUCAACCAUGGAGAGAUUAUAUUCCCAUGAAGUAUUUCUAAGUUCUAACAAGGCUGAGGAUAUCAAGCAGUACCAGCCAGUAAAAGAGUGAUUUUUUUCCACUAUCAUUUAAUCUAGCAAGCCUUAUAGUUGUUGCUACUCAUAACCCAACUUGAUGGAACUGACGAGCUAAUGAAGGGUGUAGUUCUGUUUGGCUUGGUUGGAGAUGAACUACACCAUACAAGCUUCAAUCUGUAACCAAAAGAAUAUCAUCAGGGGAUUGUCGAAACAUGUCCGACGAGAAACUUUCUGAUGCUUAAGUUAGGCAAAGUUUUGAGAGGAAACAAGAGAGAUCUGAGAUAAAUGAUAGAGUAGGAGCAUAGCGGAAAGAUUUCUCAUACCUGGGGAUCCCCAUGCACAAUUUAUAUAGAAAGGAGGGUGCUAACCUACAUGAUUCGGAUCACACGAUCCUUGAACAAGUAGCUAAGCUCUUUUCUUAUCCACCAAUCUGGGCAGCUAUAGCCUUCCUUUUUUAGUAUGAUAAGAUUACUCCGAGCUAUAACUGAUUCCACUAAUAUUGAACUGAUUGUUUGGAGAUUUGAUUCGCUAUUGAUUCCACAAGCCAGAUGAGAUUUUGGUGGAUGAUGAAUCCAAGCUAUAUCCUUGCCCUCCACUUCCGAGCCCGACCUAUUUUGUUUGGCUCGGAUGAAGGAAGUAGCUAAGCCGCUCAAUAGUGAGCUACCCGUGCCAAAAUCAAGCUGUUAAACCAUAUUCAAAUAUUUCUGGAAGCUUCAAUUAAUGGCUAACAUGAUUUCCAUGAUGUCAGUUCCUUCAUUUUAGUCAAGGAUCUUUGCGGUGAUGGACUUGUGUAUUUCACCAUCUUGAGGUUUCUCUCCUCGAGUGUCCUCUUGAUCCUAUACUUAGAGAACUUCCAUUUUGAAAAAAAAAUUCAUUCCUCCCUUCCUUUGCCUAUCCAACAGACUUAGGAAUAAGAUAACCAGGACCAAAACCAUAAAAUAAUAAAACAUAAAGAUAACCUCCCAAAAUAUCAAAAAAUUAAAAAUGUAAAAUUAAUCCCAUGAAGGCCUUGAGAAUGGCAACAAACCUCCAGUAAUGCUUCAACAACUUUGUUAUCCUAAUAUCCCUCUUUAGUCUUUAUUUGCACAAAGUGAAAGGGAAGGGCUCCAACCAAAUCCAAUGUGAAUAACUCACAAUGACUUGUUCAUUGUGGUGAAUGAGGGUGGCUCUAUGUUGAACUCUAAGCGGAGCUUUCCAAUAUUCCACUAAGAAAAACAUUCAAGAAACAUGGUAACUAAAAAAAUACAAAAAUGCUAAAUCUGAUCUAUGUAGUUCCAAUAUAUGUUUCAAAUUAUUUCUUUUAUGUUCCUUUAUAUAAAUAUAUGGAAACAAUAAAAAAAGGGUUGAUAUCCCACAUUAAUAAGAAUAUAAUAAAGUUAAAUAUAUAUUAAGCUCACAUAGCACCUAUGGCAAUAGAACAUAUGGCCUUAAGUUUACAAAAACAUCAAGUACACCAAGCUCCAUCUGCAAAUAUAGCAAUCUAUUUUCAGACUUCAGAUGCUUCUUAUUUUCAUCUAAUUUAUACCUACUGUUGGAAACCCUAGUGGUCGCAUGCAUGUAUUUUUAAAGAUUUUACAGUGGAAGCAUGAAUUAAACUAUUUAAUUCCUAUGCAUGCUAGAGAUCAUAUCUCUACAACAAAAAUGGAUCCAGGACUUUAAACAUUUAUCCUAAACAAGUAUGCAUGAUUCUAUGUCUAACAUGUAGUCAUGCAGAAUUUCAGCAACCUAGUUGAUUUCUAAUCCUAAUUAUUAAUGAGAUCAGAUCUCAUAUAUUUUUGCUUUGAGAACUUUGAUGAUGCUUUGAUCACCUUGUGUAUCCGCAUAUGCAUCCGACCUCUACGGAUAGUCCACGCAAAGCUCUAGGAAGAUCCACAACUGCAGGAGUGCUAGCUCGUGCAGAGGUGCUGCAGUGGCUGAAAUUUUCUUCCUCGAAACACUCAACUUUUGAUUCUUCUUGGAGAGGAUGAAGGAUGGAGAUGAAGGAGAAGAAGGAGGAGAGAAGGUGGCCGGCUCUCAGGAUUUUUUCAGAAUUUAGAACCCUUUCUAAAGACCAUCUCCUACAAACCCUAGGCAUGGGGGUCUUUUUAUAGCCAAAAGACCCCCCACGCCGCACACCUCUUUUGGCCAACGAAUUUGGCUGAUAAAAUUCCCAAAAAAUUCUGAUGAAUCAGCAGCUAAGAGUUGAACAAAUUCUCUUCUAAUCUUGUGCCAUGAAUACCUAAAAAUUAGGAAGUUAUUGCGCCCCAAACUUCAGCCGCAUGCCACCCUGCUUGAUGCGCCAUGCAAUCCCUACAAAUUAGGGAUUUGAUUCUUUUCUUUUUAGGAAGAAAAAGCCCCACGCCUCCUCUUUCCUCACGCCACAAAUUGGCUAAAAAUAAAGAGGAUAGGCACCAUUGCUUAUAGGGAUAAGGAUGAGGUGUCUUUCUUCUCCAAGAAAGAAAGCUAGGUACCUAAAAUUUAGGGAUUCUUCUUCUUAUCAAUUUCUAAAUUUUUAAGCUUAGAAUCUUUAUCAAAUAAGGACUUUUAAUAGGCUUGGGUCAAGCCUAAUCCAAUUAGAUCAAGUCCGAUUAAUUGGGUCGAGCCUAUCAACUCGGAUCGAACCCAAUCCAAUUAGGUCAAACCUUGAUGUAGCCCAAAUUGAAUUUUAUUCAAUUUGGCUUAACCUAAGCUCAAUUAUUCAAUUAAUUGAGUUCAUUAAUAAUCUAAUUGCUAAUUAAUCCUUCAAUAAUUCAAUAAUUAUUUUACUGCAACUUUUGCUUAGAAUAAUUUGUCAAUCGAGUUGACCGAUGUACUCCUGGACGAUUCUUAAUCGUCGAUUAGCUAUUUGAUCAACCUAGUAACUUCUAUGCGUAUGACCCCAUAGGUUCGAACCUAAGCCGGUAGCAAAAGAACGACUUUCUGUACUAAUCGAAGUGACCAUCUAGCAAUGGUACCCGACGUCCGGAUAGGCCGAAUAGUUGCAAAGCAAUAUUCUGGAACUCUUGAACUAUGGUUACCGUAUAAUUCAUCCCUAUGACACCAAAUGCCUAGGAUGACUUCAGAGUUCUAUCAACUCGUUAAUCAGUACAUCCAAAAAUGUGAUUCAACCUUAGAAAUUUCGUGACUCCUCACAAGAAUUAUCCUGGCCAAUAUUUUGCUAAAUUGAACACAAGGGCAUUAUCUUCUGUCAUCAGGAGGGGUCAAUUCCAUCUUGACUCACACACCGACUUUGCAAGUACUUGACUGCACUCAGUGACCUUCCGUCCCUGAAUUAGAAAUUCAACUGGUCCGGUACCAAAGUACAGUGAGUUGCUUGCUAAUCACCAUGGUGAUCUCAGGUUUGAGGGACAUAUAUACCCAUAUCCACUUGGAACAUCUCUUGACAGCAGAGCAUUCCGGAAUGGUCACGUUUAGUGAAGUGUACUCCUAUACUUUACCUGUGUGACAUAUCAGUGUCUCCACACUCGUUGGUUAAGAGGACAACCAACGUAUAUGGCACACAAUGACCUAAUCUUGAUAAUGCUGUUGUCCUAGUAACAACACAUCAUUUGGUCGCGAACUAUUUUAAGGACUCGUUGAUAAAUCCUCCUUUAUCAUAAAGGAGUCUUAAGGACUUCAUCUCAAAACAAGAGUUCAUUUGAAGAUGUAUAAAUAAAAUGAUGAAUAAUGGCAAAUAAUAUUUUAUUAAUUAAUCAAUUCAUAUACAAAUUCAAUCAUCAACAGGCUGACGAUUGACUUUUAGGAUACAAUUUUCAAUACCUACAACAUUUCAAACAUCUCUAUUUCAUUAGACAAACCACCCAAAUAAGUGCAUGGAACUAAAUCAACAAUGAAAAUCUAAGUACAUAGAAAAAUUAACGGAAAAAAAGGAUAGUAUCAUCAAUAUAUUCUUCUAUUGGGCUUUGGUUGACUCACUUAAGAAGUUGAUGACGACUUCACCAGCUUCACCUUCAAGAGAAGGGCCAUUCUCGUGACCAUCUAAUUUGUGGAUAUUGCACUUGUGUAGUAAAUUGCAUACCCUAUGCUAUUAUAUGCCACUUGGUACCUCAUUGAGUCCACCACACCCUAUGCCUAAACCUAUUCCUCCUAUACUGUGUAUUGCUCCACCACCUUCGCUUUCACCAGUGAUGGGGUAUGCACCAUUGUCGCUGCCAGAGAACGUCGAAAAGGAAAUCGGGACUUGGCGGUGACACCUUGACCGUGGACAUUGGUUGGGGGGGAGGGUGGUGGUGGCUGUUGGGAAUUGUAUCCUAAAUGUCAAUCGUCAGCAUGUUGAUGAUUGAAUUUUGUAAAUGAAUUGACAAAUUAAUAAAGUGUUAUUUGGCAUUAUUCAUCAUUUCAUUAUACAUCUUCAAAUAAACUUUUAUAUGAUGAAGUCCUUAGGACUUGUUUUAUGAUAAAGGAGGAUUUAUCUUCAAGUCCUUAAAACUGUUCGCGAUCAAAUGAUAUGCUAUUACUAGGACGACAGCAUUAUCGAGAUUAGGUCGUUGUGUGACAUAUACGUUGGUUGUCCUCUUAACCAAGGAGUGUGGAGAUACUGAUAUGUCACACAGAUAAAGUGUAGGAGUACAUUUCACUGAACGUGACCAAUUCCGGAAUGCUCUACUGUCAAGAGAUGUUCCGAGUGGAUAUGAGUAUAAGUUUGGCCCUCUGACCUGAGACCGCAACCUGUGACUAGCAAUCAACUCACUGUACUUUGGUACCAGACUAUCUGAAUUUCUAAUUCAGUGACGGAAGGUCACUGGGUACAGUCAAGUACUUGCGUAGUCAGUUAUGAGUCAAGAUGAAAUUGACCCCUUCUGGAAACAGGAGAUAAUGCCUUGUGUUCAAUUUAGCAAAAUCUUGGCCAUGGUAAUCCUUGUGAGGAGUCACAAGAUUUCUAAAAUUGAAUCACAUCAUGGAUGCACUUAUUACAGAGUUGACAGAACUCUGAAGUCAUCUUGGCAUUUUGGAGUCAUAGGGAUAAAUUAUACGGUAACCAUAGUCCAAGGGUUCUUGAAUGUUGCUUUGCAAUCAUUCGGCCUAUCCGGACGUCGGGUACCAUUGCUAGAUAGUCAUUUCGAUUAGUACAAGAAGUUGUUCUUGUGCUACCGGCUUAGGUUCGAACCUAUGGGGUCAUACGCAUAGAAGUUUCUAGGUUGAUCAAAUGGCUGAUUGAUGAUUAAAAAUCAUUCAGGGAUAAUUUGGUCAAUUCGAUUGACAAAUUAUCCUAAGCAAAAGUUGCAUUAAAAUAAUUAUUGAAUUAUUGAAGGGUUAAUUAGUAAUUGGAUUACUAAUAAAUUCAAUUUGAUUAAAUUAUUGGACUUUAAUUAAGCCAAAUUGAAUUAGAUUCAAUUUGGGCUAAAUUAGGGUUUGACCUAAUUCGAUCGGAUUCGACCCGAGCCGAUUGGGCAUAACCUAAUUGAUCGAACUUGACCCAAUUGGAUUGGGAUUGACUCAAGUUAAUUAAGAGUCCUUAUUUGAUGAGGAUUAAGAGUUCAAAUAAUCAGAAUUUAUUAUGGAGAAGAAUUCCUAAAAUUUAGGACCCUAGCUUUCUUUCUUGGAGAAGAAAGAUACCUCAUCCUUAUCCCUAAAAGUAGUGGUGCCUAUCCUCUUUAUUUUUGGCCAAUUUUUGGCAUGAGGAAAGAGGAGGCGUGGGGCUAUUUUCUAGAAAAAUAUGGCACCUCAAAUCUUCCUAAAAAGAUAGGAAUCAAAUCCCUAAUUUGUAGGGACUGCAUGACGCAUCAAGCUGGGUGGCGUGCAGCUGAAGUUUGGGGCGCAAUAACCUUCUGAUUUUUAGGGAUUCUUGGCACAAGAUUAAAGAGAAUUUGUUCAUCUCUUAGCUGCCGAUUCACCAUAAUUUUUUGGAAAUUUUAUCAGCCAAAUUCGUUGGCCAAAAGAGGUGUGAGGCGUUGGGGGUCUUUUGGCUAUAAAAGGACCCCCACACUUAGGAUUUGUUGAGAUGGUCUUUAGAAAGGGUUCUAAAUUUUGAAAAAAAAAUUUGAGAGCCAGCCACCUUCUCUCCUCCUUCUUCUCCUUCAUCUCCAUCCUUCAUCCUCUCGAAGAAGAAUCAAAAGUUGAGUGCUUCGAGGGAGAAAAGUUCAGCCACUGCAGCACCUCUGCACGAGCUAGCACUCAUGCAGUUGUGGAUCUUCCUAGAGCUUCGCGUAGACUAUCCGUAGAGGCCGGACACGUGUGCGGCUAUACAAGGUGAUCAAGGCAUCAUCAAAGUUUUCAAAGCAAAAAGGUAUGAGAUCUGAUCUCAUUAAAAAUUAAAAUUAGAAAUUAACUAGGUUGCUGAAAUUCUGCAUGACUACAUGUUAGACAUAGAAUCAUGCCUACUUGUUUAUGAUAAUUGUUUAAAGUUCUGGAUCUAUUUUUGUUGUAGAGAUAUGAUCUCUAGCAUGCAUAGAAAUUAAAUAGUUUAAUUAAUGCUUUCACUGUAAAAUUUUUAAAAAUAUAUGCAUGCGACCACUAGGGUUUCCAACAGUGGCAGUGCCAUGUUGAGGGGAGGGGAGAUGAGGAUGAAGUAAAUGGCAUUGACGAGCCAUUGCUAAGUGGGCUUAGGGUCGAGGAGGGCAGCAAAGGUAGGCAGGGAGUUGAGGGGGAAGAGAAAUGGAGAUGGGUAAUGGCUUAGCGGUGGAGCAGCUGAAAACAAAUUAAUUUUGGCUUCCUUCUCUUCAGGAUAGAGAUAGGAAGGAGAUAGGGAUGGUAAUUAGGUUGGGUUGAACCAGAUACAAGUAGGGUUGCAUACAAGAUAGAUAAAAGAUAUGUUAACCUGAAGUUGACCUAUUUAUUAAAAGGAUCAAAAAUUUAGACUUAAACCUGAUCAUUUUAUUAAACAGGAAAUGUAACCCAACUUGGAAUGGAUUGAAUCAAGUUAAGCAGUUUAACAUUGCCACCCCUAGAAGGAGAACAAGUUGAUGGCUGGUGUUUGGAUAGAUACAUAGGCGUGCCAUCAAUAUCCGAACUCAAAAGGAAUAAAUGGUAGCGGGUCAUACUAUCUUAACUUUCAAGGACUUUAGCUACUGGUUUGUUGUCGUCUCAAGAAAGAGAGCAGUGACCAGGAACUACGAGAUAUGGGCUACGAUCGAACUACAAAUAUAUAAACUAAAAAGUGCUAAAUAUAACUAGAAGAUAAGCUAGAUAAAUUGAUAAAAGAAACUAGUAUUUAAUUUGAUCGAGGACUCCAAAAGGCUGUCCCAGGAUUACAUUUUUAUACUUAUACACCUUUUUCUUUUAACUCUUGGACUAAUGUCUUCUUCUAGUGUUGACACCUAUCUAUACUGGCUCUUACUACUCCAUCACUUUUUUUGACAAUUACUCUAGUCUGCUUUAUCCGUUUACCCCACCUUUCACAUUUUGUGAUUUCAAUAACCGCCCCACAUUUUGUCCGAACAUCUAUAUCUCAUACUUAGCUGAUGGCUUAAACCAUGCAAAAUACAAGAUUUAAUUGGUCUUCAUCUAAAUAGGCCAUAUUUAUAAUUGGACUGUAACUUGGCCUGCUUUAAUUAAUUUCUUUUAGAUGUAGCUUGGUCAAUCCUGCAUGAUACCCUAUGGUAGUCGAUUGACUUACUUCUGGUCAUGUUCACUAUUUUGUUCGAUCUCUGUUUGACCCAUAAACAGAUCCCAUGUUUGCUCCACAAACUUCCUUUCAACUAAGUUUCAUUAUUGAGGCAAGUUUCUCAUUGUAAUAUAGUCUUUUACUAUAUCACAUGACUAUCAUCCAAUGAGUCUUUAGGCUUUCAUUAUGGGUUAGUAUGUGGUCCAAACACAUGCUUUAUUUUUCUACGAUUUUCUAGUAUUUUUCUUGAAUAUUGCAGAGAAUAUAUCUUUCUCUCCUAGCAGUUCAAAAAGUACUCCUAUGUUCAAAAGUUUAUUUUUAUGUAUUUUGAUCCACGAUCCUUUUUGAUUAUAGAAGCUAAGUUCUAAUAAAAAAAGCUUUCAAUAAGUAAAACUUAAUCAAAAUUUUUUAUUUUAAUUAAUUCUAGAAAAGAUAUUUUUCAUGAUUGGAUUAUGGAAGAAGGGUCUAAUUAAAAUUCAUGACAUAGCAUGCUCAAUUUUUUUUAUAUUUUUUUUAUUUUUUUCUAAAUUCUGAAGAGCGUAGAACUUGCUCUCUAACACGUAUAAUAGAAAAGAGAUUCAAAAAUUAUUUUUUAAUAAAAUUUAUGAUUCUUUGUAACAUGGCAUCCUUGAUUUUGUAUGAGCUAUUUCCAACCGUUUAAAAGGUAUAUAGAGAGAUAAAAGAAACCCUGCAAAUUUGAAUUCUGAAUUGGUACGAGGGGUGAUUUAAAAAAAAAACAAAAAUGUCACGUGUUUUUUCUAAGAGAGUGGCUCCGAGAACGGACACGUGGUUUCCUUUCAUCUCACCUCUUAGUCAAUCCGACUAGGCGGCGGCUCCGGUAACGAAUUCGACAUCCCCAAGCAUCUCUGCGGUGAAAUCGUACCCUACCAAGAAACCCUUCUUCCCCUUCACGCGCCAAAUAAUAAAUAACGCAGAGAGAGGGAGGUGGUAAAACGCGAUUAGAAAAAUCAACGCUCGCGGAGGAAGAAAAAAAUCGGUCUUUUCUCCCGUUUUCCAUCCGAUUUCUCCUUGAUUUCCCUUCUCUCUCCAUUUUAGUUCGAUUUCUCUAGCUUGUCCGUUCGUGGAGGAUGUACCUGAGAUGGGCUUUGAGGAGUUUGAGCCGCUCGAGAGCCGGAUUCCACGGCUGCAGUUCUGAGAGAUUCUUCUCCACGGCUUGCUGUGGACACAUUUUGAGUAGAAAUCCUUCCGAGAUUCGCUCAAAGGUGCGAUUUUUCUCCUUUUUUUAGUGUUUUUGUACUGAAUACCAAUGUUGGUCCGGUCGGCCGGUGGUAGAAUGGCUAGGUACCGGACUAUAUUGCUAUUUUCCCAUAUUUCUAUGGAGUUUUGUUUCUUGUUCUCAAGCUUUUGUUAUAGCGGGUCCUCACAGUUUUUGAAUAGAAAUUUCUUGACAAGUCUCUCAUGUUGCAUCUUCUUGGUCGUGAGUGCAAGCCACUAGGAUGCAUUGAUGUUUACUUAAUCAUGUGGAUGCUUAACUUCAUGUUUGUUAAGUUGACAUGUUUACCGACGAUGUCUGCUUUGAUAAAUCCAUCUACUGUACCCCAACUAUCAACAUGCGCGAAGAAGGUAAUGGGUCCUCUCCCCUUCCUAAAGCCAUGAGAGUUGGUCAGAAAGACGUCCUCUCAGGCUAUAUUGAGGAGUGAGGAAAUGGCUUCCAUUUGAGGUCCUUCUUGCAUGGUGUUAUAGGGUGCAGUUUUCCUGGCUUGGUAGGGUUUGGAAUCCAUGACCUAUGCAACUCUGAGAACUGAAAGCGGCAUUCCGAUACUAAGGUCUUCAAAUCUUCUAAAUGAGAAUUGUCUGGAUAAACCAUUUUAUACGUCACAGGUUUCUUUUUCCAAAAUAAAAUAGAUUACCUAUAUUAAUUUUUUUCAACAAAUCCUGAGGUCUCAAGUUGCUGCUUUCCUCCCUCAAAAAUUGCCAAAAGUCGUGCUUAUUGUUUGUGUAGCAUUGAGGUCACCUGUGGAUGUAUGUCUAUAUGCAUAGUAGACUUUCAAAUGUAGAUGCAUAGACAUAUUGCUCAAUGCAUACUAAAAUUUUGGGAAUAAGUAUUUCUGAUAGGAAUUUGUAUUCUGCGUAUAUUGGUUAUCUCAUUGUCUUCUUAUACUUUCUGUAUGCUGAGCAGGAAUGCUUUAUAUUAGUUUGAAUCCUUGAUCUUCUGAAUUCAUGGAUGAUGAAUUUGGUUUCUGAUAAUUAGACAAUCUCUUAUUCCAUUCUCAUAUGUUUUUAAAUAUAUUUAAAAAACUUUAUGAUAAUAUACUGAAUGCAGCUCAUUGGUCAUAUGACUUCAAUCCUCAUGAUAUAAUAUUGAUUUAAUGUCAGCUUGGAGGACAGUUAUAGUGAAGAAACUAGGAGCAAGCCUGAUUCUCUAUCUUUUAUCAUAAGCCUCAUUUCAUUUUUCAAAUGAAUUUUAACCAUCAAGUGUUAUUGCAUCAAUGUUGAGCUAUGUUUAGGUGCGAUCCAUCAAUGUUUGAUAAAUCAACCUUAUUCCAACCUUCUGACUUGGGGAUGAUCUAGGCAUGGCCUGUUGAGUUUGAGAAAGUUUUGCAGUCAAGUGGUAUAUCUAAUGCUAAUCCAUUAAGUUGGUCCUGAAUUCUUAGCUAUGUCAUCUUUGGACAAGAGAGGGGUUUGCCAUAAAGCUUGAAGGGCUGGAAGGUAAUAUGAAUAGCAAACUUCCUGGUUAUGAGAUUUAAGCUCAGCAAUCACUGAGUGAUCCACCAUGCUAGAGUUUGCACUUGGAAUGAAUUGACACAAUUAGGGAAGAAGAAGACAAAAGAAAAUGAUUUCAUAUAUGGCAUUCUGCUGCCUAAAUACAACCCAAUCAAACCCUUGUAAAUCCCCCUUUUGUAGCCAAUCAUUGUGUCUGCAUGAUAUGGAAAACAAACAAGAAAAACAUAGACAAUUCAUAAAAUAUAAAGAUAAGUUUUCCCAAAAGAUGAUCCAAGUCCUAUCAACUUAGCAAGCAACAUUUAAACUAGGUAUAUGAAAAGUAUGGCAUAGCUUGUAUGGUAUGGACAAACCUGAAUUGGAAAACAAUGGCUGACUUGCAGUAGCAUUUAUCUUAUGUUUCGUCUUUGAAGGCUAUUAUUGGUUAGAAUCCCACCAAAAAUCACCUCCAACUCCAACAUUUGAUUCAUCAAAUAUGUUCUUAGGUCUCCAAAUAAUCUUCUUAAGCUUGAAUCAUGACACAAUCUAUGAGGAAAUUGUAAAUCAAUGGUAUAGUGAAAUUACCUUACCAUUCCGUCAACAAGAUUUUUGUUUCUAUACUAGAAGUCAAAUAUUGAGGUAUGGCUGGCCAGUAUGGUACUUUGUAUCAAUAAUGGAUAUCGACUAGUACACUAUGGUACAAUUGUUGUGCCAUCGGUAAAACAUAUCUUGGCCUCCAAAAUUGUGUCGUCUUUUUUAUGCAUUUUUAUUUUAAUGGUAUAUUUUUGAGAAAGUGGUAAUUAUAUUGAUUUAAUGGACUGUUUGGAUGGCCAAAAAAUUCAUGCCAUACCUUAUUUAGUUAAUGAUGAGAACAAGUUAGCCAUUUGGAGAGAAGAAAUUAGCAGAUCAGGGAAACUUUGGAGCACACAACCCCUAAAAGAAAUAUUGGAAAUCACCUUUCUAACCAAAUUCAGUAGCAUUACAUUUCAGAAAUUAUGUGCUCUAAGCCAUCAAUGAUUCCCCCGAUCAAUGCUCUUCCAUUCCUAUUGCUCUACUCAUCUUAGGCUUUGACCAUGUGCAGUUUAUCUGACAAACAACACGUUCAGGCAUCUAAGAGCCCAAAAAUGCCCUAGUUGUCUGUUCAUUAUUUGCCUAAGUUUUUCUUCUAGGAAGCAUGGAGAUAUGGAUGCAACAGAAUAUAGAUACACUGAUAUGACAAAUCUUGAAAAGUAGGAAAAAGAUGUGGCUAGGAUAUGUGAAUUAAUAUGUAUGCAUUGUAUACAUAGUUUCAUGGGUAAAUAUGCACGCAUAUAUAUAUAUAUGUACAUAUAUAUGUACAUAUAUAUAUAUAUGCAAAAAAGAUCGAUGAAGCAUAAUAUGCUGUCAAAAGUAUGUAGUCCAUACUUAUGCAGCAGCAUCAAUUUUUACAGGCUCAUCAUUUGGUCAUCAUUCAAAUCCAUAGAUCCAUUUCUAUACUUCAUGUUUUAAUAUUAACAUCAUGGACUCUAAAACCAUUCAUUAUUAAAUCGUUAACACAAAAAAAGAAGCAAAAGCCCGCCCCCUCAUUUUUUGGAAGUAUUCAGAAGUAUCUCAAGUGCAUCCAAGAAGCAUCCAGAAUAUUUUUUUUAAUUUUGAUAAAAGAGAAUUUCACACAAGUAUUGGACAUAUGUCCAAGAAGUUUCCAACAAGUAUAGGUAUCAAAUUAGUAUUCGAUACAAAUAUGGCAUGUAAUUGGAAGUAACUGGGCUUCCUAGUUUUUCUUUUAUUGCUAUUUAUUGCAUAGCUUAUCCUACCUUGUAAUUAAAACUACAUUGAAGAUCUAUGUGUCUGCUUUAACAAUUGAAAUACAAUUUGGGUUUCUACCAAUGCUCUACUCAUCCUGGUUAUUCUCACCUCUUCACCAUCUCUCCUUGGGCGUUCCCACAUCCAAAUGGUGGAAUACACAUUGGAAAAAAGGCCUUCAAAAGGAUUCAUGAUUGACAUUAAGUGGGAACUGGUUUGGGUCUGGUCUUCCCUGAACUGACGCAGUUUGCAUGAUUCAGCCAUGCUCGGGACAUCUAGGCUUGUAACAUUGGCACCUGGCUAGUACAAUAUGUAGUUUCUACUAUUAGACUGGGACAAUGAGGAUUAUGAUCCAUGAUUCUAUGUAAAAGGAUCAAGGUAACAGCUUCGAAGAAAGUCGAGCUAGGUAACAAGUUCAUCAGUCUUAUGGUUCCUAAUAUUUCUAUCAAUCUUAAUUACCAACCUUUUGUCUUCUACUCAAAACAAUAUCAAUUCAAAAGCCCUUUAUUGGUGCAAUAUGUCAAGUUAGAAUAUGCAAACUUAAAGGAGAAAACCAUGCUUUCUUUUUCUUCAAUGCUAAAAGCAAUUUCAUUGACUCCUUAAAACUCAACUAGACACCAUUAUUAUAACCAUCAAGCCUGGUCUCGACUAUGUGGAUUUGGCUUUAUGAACUCUCAUGUGCUCUCAACUUACCAUUCAUUGCAUACUUUGACAUGCUUAUUGUGACUGGAUUUCAGCCCAAUACAAUCCUCCACCUUUUCCAUCCAGGCCUGAGACUGGCAGUAAAGGUGUUUGAUCACAAGGCCAAGAACUUAUGAUUGAGCACUCAGCAGAAGGAAUGGGAAAGAAAGAAAAUGUCCCUCAAUUCUUAUACUCCACAUGCAAAGCCUUCAAUCCCUCACACCUAUGCAAUAGCAAAAGUGGUCAAACAGCAAUUACAUGCAUUGAAUAAAUAAUCCCUUAAAUAAGCAAAACACCAAACAUAUAAAGAGCAGUGAGCAAACAACAAGCAGCAUACUUAGCUGAAGCUAAACCAAACAUGGUGACACAAAUCAAAAUGCCUCCAGAGGCCAGUCAGAGUGAGUGUUCUUGAAGUAAGAUUGCAAGCAACAACCUAUCUUUGUACUGGAUACACUCAGCAAGCCAGAAGCAACCCAGUUUUGGCCUGUUAUAAACAGAAACUGGCUUGUUCUAGAACUAAACUUCCAACAGAGCCAACCUUCAUUCAUUCUAAAAUCUAAGCGGCUGGUUUUACUGAAAUAUGCUGAAAUAAGGAAGUAACUGUUAUGGUCCCCUGCUUUGGAUGUAGCUUGAAAAUAUCCAUGCAUUUUGUUUUGGAUGAACCAUGGCUUCAUUAAUGUAGAAGAUCUUUCAUUUUCUGCUGCAUUAUGUGGGUUAUGGGAUUCAGCAGUCAUACAUUCUUGUAUAAUCCACAUAUUCUUGGCUCUCUAUGUGUAUUUCUUGUCAUAUGUGAUUUAAUUCUGCAUCUGACUAUCAGCUACAUUAAGCACUUGAUGACAUGUAGUCUGAUGCACAGAUUCUGCAAACGAUAUUUAACCUGGGUGGCAGUUGGUAAUAUAUACUGAUUAUGGUUUGAUUAUCAUAUGCCCUUUUCUGUGGAUUAGUAGGUAUUGGGUUGCAGAGAAGCUUUUCUUUGGGGCUCACGUGGUCUACACGACAUAAGAUAUCAGAUUCAUCAGGACAGGAGUUCUGCAGCUGAGGUAGAUUCUCCUUUACUUGGUUACUUCAUGACUGAUCCUAUGUAAUGUAAGACUUAUAUAACAUGAAAAAUUCAACUGGAAAACAUGACAAUGUCUUUUUGUUAUCAGCUCUGCCAAUCCUAUUUUAUUGAUUAUCGCUAUUUCUUGACAUUAAUCUAUUUCCAUCCAAGGCUUCUUAUUUUCCAACACCAUCUUUCAGCAUCCUUCGUCUGUAUCAUACCCUUUUUCUUAAUGGUGCUGUUUCUAGCUCGCAUCACUUAGACCCAAAACACAGUCAUUAUAAUUUUUUGCCCUAAAACAUUAGUACCGUUUUUCCAGUGAACAUGCAUCAAACUGCAUUUGCCAUAAUCAAGAGAAAAUCUUGUAAGGAUGAGAAACAACAAUAGAAGAAAUGCUGUUAGAUAUACGUCUCUAGUUAAGAAAUUAUGUACUUGGAAUUUUUCUGCUUCAUAUUCCAACAUCGAAGGUUGUUGUGGAAGAAGGGAGUUAAAUAAAAUUAACUUUAAUAUGAUAACGAGCACUGAAUAAUGAUUCCUCUCUCAUGUUUACAACUUGAAUAUUCUCAGGAACCACUGGAUCCCUUUUCCCUGGUUGCUGAUGAAUUAUCAAUUCUUGCAAACAGAUUGCGUGCAAUGGUGGUUGCUGAGGUGCGUGAUCUUCAUAUAUAUUUGGUUUGAACUGUUCUACCACCUCUAUAUUUUAUAAUAUGGCACUUCUCAGAAUAUUUUUGAUAUUAGAUUUGAUAAACAUAUAUUCUUCAGGUUCCCAAGCUGGCAUCAGCUGCUGAAUACUUUUUCAAGAUGGGAGUUGAAGGGAAAAGAUUCCGUCCUACGGUAAGAGCUGAAAUCAACAUAAUUCAAAAACGAUGCUUAUUAACUGCUUUCUACUUGUGGCAGCCCAACCGUGUCACUUUUUAAUGUUUUAUUGUGAAUANNNNNNNNNNNNNNNNNNNNNNNNNNNNNNNUAUAUAUAUAUAUAUAUAUAUAUAUAUAUAUAUAUAUAUAUAUAUAUUUGGAAUCAUUGUUACUUGGACACUCUAGGAUUUGGGACUUUUGAAGCGUUCGGACCCUUGGUCAUCUGAGCACUUGCUGACGCUGGUUGAACUUGAAGUCAAAAACCAUGAUAUCAUCACUGUCACGUACAACUUUUGGCGCUUAUACCUCAAAGUUUUCAAGUCUAAUAGAACACUUAGUAAAGGUUUUGCUAAUAGAACAUUUAGUAAAGGUUUUGCUAAUUCUGUCAAAUUCAAAUGCAACUAGCCCCACAGGUUAUUCCUGAUACAACAUGCACAUAUUUACAGAUACAUCUAUAUAUUUAGCAAUUCUUAUGUUUUCCCUGUAUCUAUAUGUUUUCCCUGUAUCUGAUUUUUUUUCAAAAGUUUCCCACAUGUCCAAUUCUUAUGGACACUUGGACGUGGGACACCUAUGUCACAUGGCUCGGUAACAUUUUUUGUAAUAUUUAUAUGAGCAUGAUGUUUGCUGCAUUUAUAUACAAAAAUGACUGUCCAAUCCAUGUUAAUUUUCUCCCCAUUUGAUUUCUUUUCUUUGGUUGUAAAUUGUAAUUAUGUUUCACUGGCAUUGCAGGUCUUGUUGCUGAUGGCAUCAGCUCUGAAUAUGCCCAUACCUCAAUCAGCAGCUGAUGGCGUGUUUGGUGGCUUACCAAAAGAGUUGCGUACAAGGCAGCAGUGUAUUGCAGAGAUAACUGAAAUGAUUCAUGUUAGCCCUCUGAAUUUAAAAUUUGUCUUUACUCUUCUAUCAUUAGUUAAUUCUGAUUGUCAUGCCUAAAUUCUUCCACCUUCUGUUAACAUGCUGCUCUUUACUUAUACUAGGUAGCAAGCCUUCUUCAUGAUGAUGUCUUGGAUGAUGCUGACACGAGGCGUGGUAUUGGUUCAUUAAAUUCUGUAAUGGGGAAUAAGGUAUUUCCUUAAAUGUCGAUGCAUAUAUAUUAAACAUUUAUUAUUUUAUAGGAAUCAAAUGUGAGAUUUGAAUAAUGUUUCCUGAAAACUGGUAAGAGUUAUCAUUUUCAGACACUAGAACAAAGCAUCAAACUCUUUGAAAUCCUAACAGUGGGUUUUAAUAACACAACCCGUUAACUCAAACCUGCUUUGCUACUCAACACGUGGGCACAUGCAUGGACAAAUUUUGAGAGCUUUCAAAGUGUGAAGCUAACAUUGUGACUAUCUUUGUAAUGCAGCUAUCUGUGCUGGCAGGAGACUUUCUACUUUCAAGAGCUUGUGUUGCACUUGCAUCAUUAAAGAAUACAGAGGUAUCUAAGCAUUUGACACUGUCAUAUCUAAUGGAUGACCAUGCAUCCAUUACCUCUCAGACCAAUUUUUGAUAAUACGAGACUAUAUUACUUAUCAACAUAAACAACUUAGCAGUGCUUUCCAAUAUUUUAAAUGCUAGAGUAUACUGUAUGUUUUUGUGCUAUUUUGUCUUCUUUUGGUUUUAUUUCAGUGAUUUUGCCUUCUCAAAGAAAAAAGAAGUGUAACGAGAACAUAUUGAUUGCACAUGCAUCUAUGAAGCAUUGACAUUGAUAUGGGAUAUGGAUACAACAUGGUAUGGAUGGAUAUGCUGAUAUGGAAAAUCUUGAGAAAAUAGGAUAGUGGUAAUGAAUAAAUAUUCAUUUUCUACGUAUAUGUGAAUAAGCAUCCAUAAAGUAUGGUGGGUCAUUGAUGUAUCCUAGGAUUGGAGGAGGCUACAACCAUUGAGAUAGAGGGUUGAUCUCUCACUCUCUCUCUCUCUCUCACACACACACACACACACACACACACACACUCCCCCUCCCUCCCCCCCUCCUCCUCCGCAUAUGUGAUCUUUCCACUCAGCUGAAAUCUCAGAUAGCUUUAUGUCAGAUCCCUGAACUUUUCUAGUAAGAAGUGUCGAAGCUUCUCCAGAUCUGGUUACAGAUAUGUUAAACACUGCAAUAUUUUCCUUGACAUUGCAAAGUUUCAUCACAGCAGAGGGUGGAAAUAGAUAUGGAGAAAAAGAAGCAAUCAUAGAAAGAGGAUAAAGAAGAAACAUUGAUAAAAACAGAGGAAUAAUAAAGAUUCAGGGAGAAGGGAAAAGAGAGGAAAACAAUCCACAAAUUUUUUCAAAACAAUAUGUCCUGACACUACUGAAAACAGCUGGCAUGGUACCCCUUUCAAGAGGCUUGGUUAGCCUGAAGAAUUUCUUCAUUGAGCCCUUUAAGGACUUCACAAUCAAUUUAGAAUCCUCUUGUAUUUGAAAACAUAAAAUUUCAUAAAAGACUCCUAAUCAACACAUUUAGUUAAAAAAUCUAGAUCUUAACUAUGUUGCUCCCAUGUUAAGUUUAUUGUUAAAGAAUUAAUUUAAAUAAACUUCUUGUCUUGGAGGACUUGUUUCUACAUAGCAACCAACAGUGAUAGAAAUAAUAGAAUUCAUGUCCUUGUUCACCGUGUUGCCCUGAACCCCCCAAUUUGGGGCAUGCUGAGCUGAACUGGGGCAGAACCGGCAUGGUUCCCUGAUUCGGAGCAUGCUGAACUCAACUGGGGUAGAACUGGCAUGAUUUUCCUUAUAAAAUGGUAAAAGGCUCUAAACUGGUGUGAAUUGCCCGAUUUGGACUGGUACAGGGUCGAUUCACCCCCACUUAUGUUAAAUGCGUGACAUGCGUGAAAAGGCUCAGGAUCCCAAAUCAAGAUAUUCUUCCUCUCCCCCUCUCUAUUUCUUUCUUUCUUUUUUCUUUUUUAGGCCAAAAAUCGACAAUAAAAUUUAAAUAUUAGGGGACGUCAUGCCAAACUUUUUGAUUUUGGCAUAAUAUCAUUAUAAGUUGUAGAUUUAUGGAUGAUUUACCCAAUGACACUAAAAUCUUUAAUUUUCAUUAAAUCUAUAAUUUUUAAAUUUAAAUAUAUAUAUUUUAAAAAAUAAAUAAUAGUCAAUAAAUAACUGUAAAAUCAGAAACUUGUUUAGGGGUAUGCAAUCUACUCUCGGCCUAAAUUUGGUGUCAAUUUGUUCAAGUUUGGGUGCGAUCUUGAGCACAGUGGUCUAAACUCAAAUUUGAAUAAAAUUGAGAAAUAAGUAAUCUUCCAUGCAUGGCUAUACUCUGAGAAAAAUAUUUGUAGCAUCCUUGGUAGGGUGGUAUAUGGAUCUAAAUUCAAAUUUAAUUUACUAAUUUUUUAUAUUUAAAAAUUAUUUUUUAAUAAAUAUUAAAAAUAUAUAAUUAAUACAAAAAGUAAAAAAUUAGGACUAUGUAUAGAUGAUUCAGAAGUAGUUUCUGAAGUAGAAAAUAUAUUUUUCUGAAUUUUUGAUAUUUAAAAGUAUCUUUAAUUGAAAAUUUGUUAAAAUAUAUAAUCAAUACAUAAAAAUAAAAAUUAGUGCUAUGUAUGGAUAGUUAAGAAGUAUUUUCUGAAGUAGAGCAUAUUUUUUCAUCACAGCAAAAUUUUACUAUUUUUAAAUAAAUAAACUAACAUGUGCUCGAUAAAUCUGCAAGAAUAGAUCCACCGAGGAGAGAAAGAUCUAGAGAAUGACAUUAGUUAAGAUCAUGGGUAGAGAUGCUCUCGGAUCGACACCAUUGGAGGUGCAAUUGGUGCAACAUAGAGUUCAAAAAAGAAGGAAUAACUUGAUUAAAACAACAUAUGGCCGGUGGUUAUCUCGAUGUAUCCAUGUACCAAAAAUGUCCACAGAAGAUCCGGUAACUGAUGUAGAAGUGCUUCGCUGAUUUCAGAACGACGAAAGAGAGGGCUGCCUAGAAAAGGGCGGAGAUGGAUCGUCGAGCAGCAAAGCCACUUUUCUAUCACUUUAGAGAGUCAGAGCAUGCCUCCGUUCUAGAUGACGAGGUGCACAGAUUCAGACUGCCAUCCAAAGUAGCCUAGAUAACUAGUGCCAGCAGGACGAGGUGGUUAGGUAUAGGGCUCGGUUUGGGCCCUCACAGUAUGAAUCGAGCUCUGAAUUUAGGAUGGAUAGGGCAGAUUUAGAGUUCAGGAGGACUUUCUUAAUUAGGAAGGUAGACAGCAGAGACGACGACCGUAUUGCAUAUAUGCCAAGGGUCUUUAACCACAGAAACAAAUCCUCUAAAGAGAUUCCGCCAAUGGUCACACUAUCUGUGACCUAGAUCCACAUGCCUUCCUCAGCAAGGAUUCGAAGCAGCAGAGGAUUGACACUAUGCUAAAGGACAUGUGGUGAUCUAUUGCAUCUUAGUUCCACUUCAGCCACAUCUAAGUGAAUGCGGUAGGCAAUACGUACUACUAGUAAGCCAUUUUCUCUGUACAAGCUGCUGGUUUGGGUGUGGAUCCUCUAGGAUCGAAGGACAUCUAUGGUGAUCUCCUUGAUAACAAAGAGGAUCUAGAAAAGUGGAUUGUCUUGUACUAGAGAAAGCAGCUCAUAUAUGGACUGAUAGUGAUAUGUGAUGGUUGCAACGAUUCUAGCAGGCGGAGCAUCAUCUUCUUGACAUACGAUGAUUUGAAGACUUUCUUUUAGAAGUCAAUUAAUGCUUCCGAUCAGGUGCAUGCGCCAUGUACAUCCUUUCAUUGGUGGAGGACAUGAUUGAUAAGAUAGGAGAGAAGAACAUCGUGUAGGUCAUCACUGAUAACAAGCCAUAACACAAGGCUACUGGAAAGAUCUUGAUGGAGCAGUAGCCACAUAUUUCUGAACUCCAUGUGCUGCAUAUUGUAUCGAUCUCAUGUUGAUAGAGCUUAGAAAGAUUCAUAGGAUGCAUCAAAUAGUAGAGAUAGCCCAAUCCAUCAUCAGGUUUAUUUAUAACAAUACAUGGAUACAAGGGGGGAGAGAUCUUGAGACUAUCUGUCACAUGGCUUGCUACUAAUUACAUUACACUUGAUAGCCUUCUUAAGACGAAAACAUGCUAGCGUUAGAUGUUUGUUAGUGCCAAGUGGCAGGAGAGCAGAUAUGAAAGGGCCAACAUUGAGGGGAGCCAUGUAGAGAGCUUGGUGAUGAGGUAUAUAUUCUGGCUACGGACUAACAAGAUAGUAAAGACUAUUAAGCCAUUAUAUAGAGUAUUUUGAGUUGUGGACAGUGAGAGGUUCCUAUAGAUGGGUUUCCUGUAUCAUAUGAUGGAGAGUGCGAAUGUUCGUAUUAGGAGGCAAAUUUGAAGCAUGUCCAACAAUACAUCGAUAUCAUUGAGCAAAGGUGGGAUUACUAGAUGGAUAGGAAGUUGCAUCUAGCAGGUAAGUAAAAGCAUUGAAAAUUUGAAAUACUUGUUCAUUAACUACUAAUGUACUUGUAAAUAAUUUAACAUAUUAUAACAUGUCUCGACAGCUAUAUUAAGUAAGAAAUCUAUGAAUUCAGGUAUAUUAGAUAUCAACUAUAACUAUUACGUAAUGUUUAUAAUUAAAAUUUAAUACUAUUUUAUAUGUAAUUUUCUUCAAUACUUUUGUAGCUGAAUGGUGGAUUCGUUUUGGUUUGUCAGCGAAAAAUUUUAGGCGGCUAGCCAUCCAGAUUCUCUUCCAGUCUUCUUAAGUGAUUGUGAGCACAAUUGAUCGACAGUAAGUAGAGAAGCCAUCUGACAUAGAAGCGUCUCAAUGACCUUGUACAUAUCUACUACAAUCUGAAGUUGAGGUUGAGCACAUUUAGGAGGAAGUGGAGCUAAAUACAUGGAUCCGCUCCAUAAUGAUUUUGUUUAGGAUGAGGAGGAUCCUAUGAUUAGAUGGCUUGUAGGCUAGCGACAGGAGUCGAAGCUUGACGAGCCAGGAUUGCCUUUAUGAUUGGCUAAUUUCAUAGCCAUGAGACUAGGAUGCAUGUGGAGCAAUAGGUAGAACGUAACAUUUCAUUCUUGCGUCCAGUCGAUCAACUAGAGAGGUUAGUGGGGAGACAAUCGUCAUAGGGCUCCAUGUCUGAGAUGUUCUUCUAGAGAUAUAAUCAAAAGAUGCUUCGAUGUGGCCAUCAUGCUACCCAAUCCACUCAAUAGUGGCGCACCGUCCAUCCUCCGAGCAUAGCCAGGUAGAGAGGGACAUGAAGGAAAAGUAGACAGUUGCUCAAUGCAGCUUGAAAGAAAAAGAAAGGCAGCUGUAGCUCGAUAGAGAGAGUGGAGGAGUCAGUUCACUCAGACUCAGAGAUCAGGGAGAGUAGCGAUGACAGUUCUGAUGGUCAUGGAUUUGGUAGCUAGGGAGGAAGCUGAGGAUAUGAGACCACCGUUUAUGAGAUACAGCUCUAGGAUGGUCUUCAAUUCACUGGUGAGUUCUAGUUUAUACAUGCUAUACAGGAUAGGCAUCAUGCUGCAUGAGUUGAUAGAGUCCGCGAGGAUAUGAUGUAUCUAGGAGAUGAACUCCUUGAGGUUGUUCAGGAGGAUACGACGCAGCUGUAGAUGGCCUCGCAUGUGGAGUAAGAUCAUGGAUGUAUCAGGUUUCGAAUUGUAUGCGGUAGGAUCUAUACAAAUAUGGAUAUGAUGCGUCAGAGUUGUCUUCCAACGACUACUAUCCAAUGCAUCCUAGGGCACCUUAGGAUUGGAUUUUGCUGCCAGCAUGUUCAGAUGGACACUUCCACAACCAUAUUAUCAGGUAGAUAACACUUUCUAGAGCUAGAGCUUUAAUGAGAGAUCGGAGAUUAGUUAUAACCUAGGGCGCGUAUCUUAUGGGAUGAGCAUAUGGGACUACAAUGCCAUGUGCUUGGAGGGGUAGUCUGAUGUGCCCUCUAAUUAUGUUAAUAAUUUUGACAUCUAUGUGAUACAUCGAUCCUACACCAGAUUUUAGAUGUCGGUAUGUAUGUUGUACUUUAAAUACAUCUAAAUGAUUGUAUAUUUUAUAUUUCACUAAUUUUCUUUAAUUGUAUUCCAUGAUAUAAUUAUGAUCUAUUUAGGGUCAAGAAGCAUUAAGGUAUACCAGGUGUUAAAAACAUCAAAUUAGGAUUUUAACCCUAACAAAAACAUCCAAAGAUAUCAAAAAACAUUAAAUUAAAGUUAAAAUUAUUAAAAAAAUUGAUUACAUUUCAUUAAAUAUUAAAAAGUUGAAAAAAAAUAAAAAAAAUCAAAAAAAGGCAUGUCGAUUUGAUGAUCGGCAUGCCAGGGCAUACUAUGUGUCAGUAUGGUACCAAACCGAUACUAUACCAAACCGGUAGCUGACCGGUAUCAGUUCAGAGUUGAUUCGGACCGCCACUUCUCUGGGUAUUGGUACCGGUUUAGCCUACAUGGAUCCAUGUGGUAAAUAUUAGAUUGAUGUGUUGCCUUACAGUAUUUAGCUAGUGGAAGAAAAAUAAUUCUUCUAGAUAGAAUAAAAGAGUAGACUGAAACAUUAGGGUUCUUGUUUUAUGAUCAUAUACUGCAUAACCAAUCUAGUAGGUCAGAGACUAAGAACUGGCCAUUUAGGAUGAAUGUCAUGUUUCUCUCUUGCUUUUUUGUUAGCGAAAUGUACAUCACCAUAUAAUAGGAUGUCGAUGCCUGUUUGAGAUCCAUCAUAAGAGCUUCAAAGUUCAACAGAUAACCUUGAUCCUUGAAGCUGAUCCCAUAUAGAUAGAAUUCCUCCUUUUGGUUCAGGUUAGGCCGUUAGGGUCAUCGAUAUUACAACUAAAGAGCAUCUAGAAAUUAAAGCAAGCAUUUCCAUCUGCUGCUUAUAUGUGGCUGUACGGACAUGCAAUUGUUAGUUCAAAUGACAAACAGCGUAUCUCAUUGUGCAUAAUUCUCAAGAUAAGUUCUGGUCUUGCAGAUGGCUUCUGGUAUUUUGUGAUUUACUUGACUCUCUGCAUGCAGGUUGUAUCUUUACUGGCAACUGUUGUAGAACAUCUAGUUACUGGUGAAACUAUGCAAAUGACAACCACAUCUGAGCAACGUUCUAGGUACAUGGUUUUUACUCAUACAAAUUAAUAGUUUGAUUUAUUCUGCUGCAACAGGAUUUCUUGCUUGACAGAAAUGAAAAUUCUCACACAAACAGAAGUGGUAUACUUAAAUUCUUGCUCCUACCUCUGAGUUCGUGAUGCUGAUGCUUAUUGGUCUCAAUGCUAUGCAUUUGUUUCCUAUGAAUGCAACACCUGUUAUUUUGUUGCUAAAAUGAAAUCAUUGCAUGUUGACAUACAGCAUGGAGUAUUACUUGCAGAAGACAUACUAUAAGACAGCUUCAUUGAUUUCAAACAGCUGCAAGGCUAUUGCUCUCCUUGCAGGGCAAACUGCAGAAGUUUCAGUGCUUGCUUAUGACUAUGGUCGGAAUCUGGUUAGUUAUUAUUCUCUAAUCUUAAUUUUACUGGCAUUUUUUUACUCUAUCAAGCAUACAGCGGUUAGCUAUUACAAUGACUAAACCUUUCACAUCUUACCAGGGUUUAGCAUAUCAGUUAAUUGAUGAUGUUCUUGAUUUCACCGGGACAUCAGCUUCACUCGGGAAGGGUUCCUUAUCUGACAUUCGCCAUGUAAUAUCCUUUUGAGUUUUGAGUUUAUUUUCAGUUAAUGGUCGUGUUAGGUUCUGGUAUUCUGAUUGUUAUUUUGCUGUUUGCUAGAAUGGAAAAGAUGUCUCAGUUAAAUUGCUUGUUAUGGUAUAAAGUAAUCCAGAUAUGUUUUUUAUGUUUUGUGUUGUUUGUUGUUGCAUGUAUCUGACUUAAUAUGCAACUGGAUUCAGCAUAUCGUAACACUAAAUCUCUUGAUUUGGAUUUUCAUCUUUGGCUAGCAGUUUCCUGAUUACAUUAUCCUCUAGUUAUUGUGGUGUUUUCUAUUUUUAUAAGGAUGAGAGUUAGAGAGGCAUUCAAUCAGCAAACAACAUUAUCACCUCAGAAUCUCUUACAGAAUUGUAGCAAUAUUUGUGCAUUAAUUUCUCUCUGUGUUGCACAUCAUCAUUUACAAAAUUUAGCAUUUUCUUACUAUGGAGUCGAAGCAUUUUAUUGUACAAGAAGAUCUGUUAGCAUCUAUCUAGAGCUAUGGCAUGUGAUGAUUAUCUCUCAGGUUGAUUGCAUUUUUGAGUUGUCUAGUAAUUAUAUGUCCAGAAAUUGCCUGAUGACUGUCUUCAUUUAGAUUCGCUCAUUAUUGUCCUAAAAUCUUAGUUGGCAUGUAAUUUGGGAUUUGUUGCUCGUAGGAUUUGUAGGUAUAGAAGAAGUUUUAAUUGUAAGGUCAUAGGGAUUUGCUGAAUAGAUGUGUAGGGUUUGUCAUUGACGCUGGCAACCGAAAUAUUUACAGAAAACUGAGACCAAAGAAUUUGAGUUUUAGUAAAUCUAUUUUGUAUACCAGAUUAGCAACUCCAUUUCUUCUAUCCAAAAUAAAUUUGUCUGGUUAAAGUUUGACUUUUCUUAGCUCAAUCAUCUCAAGUUUCUGGAGUAGGCAUGAUUACAAGCAUAUAGGUGUGCUUUCAUGAUUACAAGCAUAUAGGCAUGAUUAUAAGUGAUUAUUGAUCAUGUAAUCAUAUGGUGGGAUUUCUUAGGUUAGAUGAACACAAACAAUAGAAAUCCACCUUUCAAAGAUGUUUUCUCUUAGGGAACCUUUUGAUGCAUCAGAGGCUGAGAGUUAUUGAGAUUGCUAUAAGAUGUAGAUUUUAUCAUUACUUUUUCUAUGUCUUCUAUUUUUUUAACUUCCAGUGUUAGUUGGGUCUUAGGACAUCUAUGGCUGAGAUUGAUACAACUUGAGAUAUGGAUAAUUAGAAGGGCAGCAGCAAGGCAUCACUAAAAAAGAAAACCACAUCAGACCUAUUUCUAAGUAGUGGGGACCAUUUGUUGGCUAACCACAUAAAGGAAGAGAAGAUAUUAAAUGUUGACUUCUACCCACCUCCCUUGGUGCCUACACUAAAAGGGUUAUUCCUUCCUCUUUUUAUUUUUCUCUAUGUGGUUCUGGCUGCUAAGUUUGCCCUUAGGAUUCUAAGGAAAGUUUGGUUGUGGAAUUAUCUUAUUCGUCAAUCUCCUGAUAACAAAGAAAAUGGCUUUCCUUUCUUUCUCAGCAUCCCUGGUUCUUUCCUUUCCCUUCCCCCUCUCUCUCCUGCCCUGUUUCAACCUUUUCUCUUCCCCAUUAUUUCAAUUCAUUUCUGUCACUUUGAUCUCUGUUUAUUUGCACUAAUUUAAUGGGGAUAUCCAUUAGAUCUGCUGUUUUGCUUUAAUUGUCACAUAGUUUUCAAGCAAGAUAUCAAGCUCCCUUUCUGCUUUCCUCAUUUAUUUUGUUAGCUAGUAGUUUCUGUAAUAUUAUUGGUCAUUAAUUUUGUGAUCCAUGCAUGAUUUUUAUCAGUUGAUGUGUUCUGAAAUUUUAGGAUAACAAUAAUGUCCUUUCCUUUUUUUCUACAACUCUGCGACAAAACUUAAGAGAACUCAUAUCUCUGUUAUCUGGAGAAAACUCAUAUCUAUGUUAUCUGGCACCUUAAAGGGGGCAUUGUUGCUUGCUAAACUUACUGGACAAAAGCCUAGUGUGUCCAUACUCCAUAGUCAUGCAGGUCAUACUUGGCCUAUCAUUAAUUUGGGUGUGCUGAAUAGUGUACUAGCUUUGUGAGCAGGCUGACAAGGUGUAAGUUAUAUAGAUUUCAACUCUUUCUCAAGUUAUGAUUUAGGCUUGUCAUAUAUUACUUGAGUUGUACAUCAAACUCGGAAUGCCAUAGAUGUUGGAAGUAAGGUAUGUCCUAAAAGCCAUUUGGUGAUCUGAACUAGCAAUUGGAGACAUUUCAUGGUGCUUCUACUAUACAUAUAAAAAGGUAAUGGUUAGUGUCACACUUUGGCCUUUGAGCUGGAAAAGAGUUCACAAGCGUCUCUGAUUGGUGAAUGGUCAAGUAGUUGGUUGUCUAUUCCUUUCAUGCUCCGAACCCCUGGGUUGACCACGUGACACGGUCGCGUGAACCCUAGAGUGAUGCUUUGGACAUGCAAGGCCUACCUUAUGAUUAAUACACAUAUCAUUCCAACUUAGACCGUGGAAGAAAUAAAUAAUCUAAUUUAUUUAUUCAAAAGAAUAAUCCACAAUCAUAAUAAUCAAAUUAUUCCAAGAACACUACCCUAAACUCCUCACUGAUUGAUCCCAAGCCCCAUCUCCUUGGCUGCAUUUGUAAAAGAAUUAGAAGAGGUAAUGAGCUUCACAGCUCAGUAAGUUACCAAAACCUAUAAUAAGAUCAAGUACAUUAUGCAAGAAAUAUAAAUUUUGCAUGAUUUCCCAUAAGUAACAAGAUGCUGAAGAAUAUAUGAAACAUAUUAUAUCUAACAACGUAGAUUUCAAAUUAUAAUGCAUUUGACCAAAAAUAGAUUCUCCAAAACAACGAGGGAUGGACCAUCCAUUCUCACUCCCCUAGUUCUCGUAACUAUGGCCAUGAUCGGCCCAUAGCAAGCCCUGAAAGAGACUAGAUCCUAACUACAACAUGCCGUCCUCCAGUUAUGCGCCAUUGAUCCAAUACUAUGCAAAUCAAUUUCUUGUAGCAUGCAUAUGAUACUUAAUUUCAGCAAAAUAUAAUAGCAAUAGAUUAGUUUUCAAAUAAUGCAAAUCAGAUCAUGAUUAAACACUAGGGGUAGAGGUAACUUACUAUUUCCGCUUUAACCUCUCGAAAUCUGCCAAUCCAAAAAAUCGUCCAAAAAUCUAAAAUAAUUACGUAUCUUAUUAGAUUUUUAUAAAGAAUCAAAUCAUAACUUGAAAGAUCCUAAGGUAGGGUCCAACCCAUGUCUAGGCUACCGAAACUAGUCUAACAUCCAGGGGUCUCGACCAUCCCUUAGAUGGAAACAUGAAUUUCACCAUGAGGUGGGGUUCGUAGUUACCUAAAUGCAAUAUAUUUGGUCUCGAUCAUGCCUCCUCGCUAUAUGGAUCCGGGUUUCCACCUGAUUAAAUUAAGGUUCAUGCGUUAGAAAAUUAAACUAAUUAAAAGGAUUCUGACUUGAUUUGGGUACACCGACAAGAUAGAAAGAAGAGAGAGAGACUCAGUCUGAGUUCAAUCAGGGGCAUGGAUUUGGUUUGUCGAUGAUCUAGAUCAAUCGAUGUAUAUGGUCCACGAGUCAAGUAGAGAGAGAUAACGAGAGUUUUUCCUUUUUUAAUUAAUUACAAAAAGGGAAAAAUGCGAAGAAACUAGAAGAAAUAAGAACGAAGAGGAGGGAGGGAGGGAAGAGGAGAGGCUUUUUUUGGCGGGGGGGGGGGGGUGACGGCGGCCAGUCCAUGGCAGUAGGACUGAUGGUGAAGGUGGUGCUCAAUGGGUGGCCGUCGGCGACGGUAGCAGCCGACGGAGAUGGAAUGACCGAGAAGAAGAUCUCGGUUUGGCGCAAAAUAAGAGGUUGGGAUUGGGUUUGGGUCCACUCGGAGGAGAUGAGAAGAGGGAGAGGAAGGCUAGGGUGGCACGGCUGGUGGUGAGGCGGCCGCAACCUCCAUGUGCAGUGGCGCUCCAACCCUGCAUAGAGAACAGAGGAAGGGAUCAGGAGAGGGGCCAUACUCCUAGCUUUCCUAGGUGACGACUUCUUCAGCCAAACAAAGGUGGCAAGAUGGUGUAGGCUCACCAAUGCGCAGUGACGAUGACGAUCUCGGCAAACAACAAUGGUUUCCGGUGGAAAACAAGGGUGAUAGAUCUCGGAACAUGGGAAGUAGGGCAACCGAAAAUCUAUAGAGUAUAGGAGAUUUAGGGGCGUUGGAGCUCGAUUGUGGUGGCAUGUCAGCCGCCGAAGGUGAGGAACCAAAGGUGGAUCAUUCGAAGGGGUGGGUUUUUUUUUAAAAAAGUUUUGGAUUGCUCGACCAAACGAUGGAUAAGACCGUCCUUUUGUCAGUUGUGUGCGAUCCUAAUGGCCGUCGACCGUUAGUACGAGACCUGUAGGGGCCUUACUAGCCACGACUCUGUAUCAUCAUCUCCAACAAUGAGUAAUCGGGCGGGGGAUUGUGAUCCCCUGUUCCAACCCCCCUCCCCUCCUUUUUUUUGAAGUCCCCAACUGAAGUCGGUUGGGCCUGCCGACUUUACUCUAGAACGGGCCCAAUAGGCCGAUUCGCACAUUCUUCCCUCAAAAAAAUUUCAUCCUCGAAAUUUGAGAACUGUAGACCUUUUAAUUUUAAUGAUGCUCAACCCAAAAACUCAUUAUACCGUAGGUAGCUAGGAGAUAACUUGUCAUGGGGUGAGUAUUUUUCUAAUCCAAACACCCAUGCGGCAUACCACAUACCAAAACCAGCCCUCUUGAGUCCUUUACUCAGACACACACAUAUAAAUGCGCAUCAGUCAUGCACCUCUAUAACUCUGCUCAACACUCUAUCGAACUGAACACAUGCGACACCCUCGAGUGCUUGCAAGCAACCCGACCCCUCGGGUCAACUGCAACUCUCAUGCGCAUUUCUGUGCCAAAGCAUAGACUGUUCCCAAGAGUGUUCCGCCUAUGCCAAUGCUAGAGUUUUGCCCCUAAAGUAACAAACAAUCCAAGAUCUCGUAUCCCUCGAUCAAAAUCAGUACAAUAAUUAGAUUUGGAUCAAUUAUCAAAAAACUUUCUAUCACAUUUAAAAUUAAGAUAUAGACCAGCAAGAUUAGCACUAAAUAAGUGACUAAGAUCUGAGAUUGAAAUCAACAUUAUGAUGUGAAUGCAUGUUCAUUUGAGAUUGGAUUUGGGGUCAAUUGAAUGCUCAAUCCUUAGAGCAGGAUAAAUUAUGAAAAUUAAUUGUAUUCAUAAUAGAUCUUGAAAUGAAAUGGAUAUUAACAUUAUGGUGGAGCUUUGAUUUCUACAAAAGAUAAUGAGCAAUCUUGAUUAGAGUUAAAUUAAUAGGUGACUGUGAAGGUGAUCAUCAUAUUUAGUGAUAGGCUUUAGACAACAACGGUCUAGCAAAAUUAUGAAAAUGAUGGCAUUGAAUCAUAAGAGCAAGUUCGAGAAGGUAAAGUAUUGAUACCAUGAUUCCGAUGUUGGAGUUGAGAUCAUAAUGAGUGUUCUAAUAAGGUAACCAAUAUGUAAUAAAACUUAGAAUAAAAUCAUAAGGAGGGAACAAGUAAUGCAUGAUUUAUUCAAAUACUUAACAAUUGGACCAUGUUUAGUCAAUAGUCAACUAACAUUAGUCAUGAAAGGCUCAAAAUUUUCCUUAGGUUAGCCAACAAUAGAGGAAAUAACAUAGCCACAUGAUGAUUAACCUACGAAUCAAUAUCCUUUCCUUUAUUAACAGAAGCAUUCUUUAUUGACAAAUCAAGUCUUCCAUCAUAACACAUCUCAAAUCACAAUCAAUGUUUUGAUCAAUUUUAAAUGACUCAUUCCAUCAUAUUUGCGCUGUGCAACUUUAAUCAACAUUCUUCGAAAUUCCUUAACGAUCCCAGUCUUUUUUUUAAUAUAAUCCAAGCAAAUCCUUACUUUCCAAGUACACUGGAUCAAUAUAACCCUCGAGGUAAUUGCCAUAUUUGUAUCAUCGUAUCAUCAAGUUAUUAUAUUCUAGAUUCGUUUUAAGCUAAGGCAACUCUAGAUUCCCUUGACAUUUCAAUUAGAUUAUUUGAAAUCCUUUUCUCUUUUUCAAGAAUAUUAACUCUAUGCUCCGACGAAUUAAAGGAUCCCAAAUUAACUUGCUCAUAAGCACAUUCAAUGUUGUAGAAUCUUAUCUUCUAGGUUAAACUCAUUUAUGCCUCUCAUAUAUUUUUUUCCUUAUAAUUAUCAUGAAAUGCCCCUAGCAUUUCAUCAAUGACGAUAUAAGAUUCAUGAUCAACAUCGUAAACCAUUUUUUUGACUUCACAAAAAUCUAGCAAUCUGGUUCAAAGACUUAUUAGAAACUCCACCAAGAUAUAGGCUCUAUAAUUUCACAAGGAGAUCAAUUCCACCAAUAAGAAAAAUAUUUCUAUUUGCAAUAUUGCAAACAUACAUGAUUUUGUAAAUCUGCUAGAGUAUCAAAAAUAGAGAGAUCAAUCUACCUUAACUUAGAGGAUCCACACAAAACAUCAUAAAAAUAAAUUAUUCAUGAUAAUUAUUAACUAUUUCAUCCUUUUAGCAAUAGUCCUACUUUUUUUUUUCAAUUGCCUUCUUUCCAUUCUCAAGACAACUAAACUCUUCCAAUCCCUUCAAUUUUGAGUCGCAUCCAUAAUUUGGAUUCAAUGAAGAUCGCCAUUAGAUGUAUGAUCCAAAGUUUGUUGAUUGUCAAGAAAUGGACAUUAGACCAACCAAUCAAUAGUGUGAUUGCGAGAGAAAUUUAUGUGGGCCUUCAUCAUUAGAUCUUGGAGAUUUAGUGGUGGAUCAAGCUUAUGGGUGACAUCAGGAAGAUAUCGAAGUUGAGAUCCAUAUAAAGGAAGCGAAUGAUAGCAAAUAGAAAUAUGUAGUUCAAUUUUUUAUUUUUUUGGAACUUUUAGUAGGUAUUUUAAUAUUGCUUUUAGAGUUCUCUUUUAAUUUGGUGUGCAAGAGUCUUAUAUUUGGUAUAUGUUAAAUUGGACAAGUCAUGAAAUUAUUAGGAUUUCGUUUUUUGAAUGUUGUAGGUGUCUUUUUGUAUAGGUUUAUAUAUUAUUUCGAAUUUUAUUUUUUUAGAAAAUAUUUUGGGAUUAGCUACAUGCCUGUCAAGAGUCUUAGUUUUCUUAGAAAGCAAGUCAUGUAAAGUCUAUGAAAGGGUCUAUUUGUGUUGAAUGAAAGAGUAUGCUACGUGAUCUGGUUUUGAAUAAAUGAAAAGAUUUCUUUAGGUCAGGUUUGGCCUUUCUUAUCUUUCUCCCUUUCUAUUCCUAUUCUCUUCUCUAUUUCUUUUUUCUUCUUCUUCUCUUAUUACUUCACUUCAUUUCUUCCUAGUUUUUACUAUUGUUUCUUAUUCCUGCUGCUAUUUUCUUCUUCAUAGGAUUGUUGGCACUGCAAAUUGAUUUACUGUAGGAUAUUAAAUCAGAUAUGUUCCGGAACUAGCUUUAAAUUGUUUUAACUCCUUUCUUUCCAACAUCUUCUAGUAAGUCAGCACUCACCUGGUAUAUUGAUUUAUAGUGAGAGAAAAUUAAAGCUAGUAGUAACUGAUGCAUUUGCUAGACUUCUCAGUAAAGCCAAUAGAGAGUGCAUUUUUUUAAGGUCUCAAGCUGAGAGGUAUGAGUUUUGGUUUUAGUUCUUUAUUUUUUGUUUAUGAUACAAUCUUAUUUCGCAAGGCUUAAGUUCCUUAUAACUUUUAAAUUCAUCAUCAUUUGUUGGGAAAUUUAGUCUAGGCUUACAAUCAACUUUAACAAAACUCAAACUAAGGCAGGCAGAACUACCCCGAACUGCCUGCUUCAGAGCAUACUGAGUCGUAUUGGUGGCGGACCGAGACGACAUCAACAAUAAAAUUGAGAAACCAUUGAGUGGUGAAAGAGAGAGAGCAAAAGAGAGAGAGAGGGUGGAAGGGAGGGAGAGGGUGGUGGUGAGUGACAGUUGUCGGAAUAUGGGCUGAGGGAGGGGGGAGAGGGCUUUUGAAGCCUACUCUCUUCCAUGCAUUGGAGCAGGGGCGGAGCCCCCAUUUCCUUUCGAAAUAGGGGCUUCAGCCGCUUUUUCUAUUUUUUAUUUUUUUUAAGUGAAGUCUGUAGCCACCACCAAAGCCCCUGUUUCGAAAAGAAAUAGGGGCUCCACCCUUGUUCUGCCCCUAUUCCAAUGCACGGAGGAGAGGAUUUCGAAAGCCCUCUCCGCCCUCCCUCGGCUCUGUCUUGACGGUUGUUGCUCACCGCCCUCUCCUUCUCUCUCCUUCCCUUCCUCUCUCUCCUUCCCUCUCUUUCCUUCUCUGCCUUCCAUCCCUCUGCCUCUCUCUCUUCGUUGCGGUCAUGCUCUCUCUCUCCCUUCCUCUUCUCUCUCAUCUCUGUCUUUUCCUUUCUCUUCUUCCUCCUCUCCCCCUCCCUUGCUGGUUUCUUGUCGCUUCACGGCGGAACAACACAACACAGGGGCAUAUCGUAGCAUACCACCGGCCUACCAGCAUGGGUGUCAGUUUUGUUACUGCGGACCUUGAGUCAAACUAUUUAUCUUGGAUCUAUAGCAAGAAGAAGUGAAUUGGUUGAUAGGACUCUUGUUGAUCCUCCUAUCAACUAUCUGGGAUACUCCAUCAUUCUAAACUGAGAAAGAGUGACGAGUUUUCCUAAUUGACAAAAUUAAUAGAUGGGCCAUCAAAAAAAAAGAAGAAAAAUGGCUGCUUUGUGGGCCAUGUAAAAGAUAAAUGAACUUCAUAAAGCUUUUCUUUGGAGAGGUAAUGUCAACAUUUCUAGUGGUAAAAUUGCCCUACUGAAUUGGAGAGUGGUUUGCUAAUAGAAAAGACAGGGUGGUUUGGGGGUCUUAGAUUUAUCCAUGUUAAAUGAUGCUCUUUUGACCAAUUCCUGGAGGAAUUUCUUUUAGGUUAAUGAUAAACCUUGGAAUCUCUUAAUCAAAAAUAGAUAUUAUAGAAGAGACUUUUUGGCUUCUCAUCUACCUCUCUGAAAUCCUAGGCAUUGCCUUUUUGGUGAAGUGUGAUUCAUACUCCAGACAUUUUUUUGAUUGGGUCUUUCUUUUCCUUAGGAAAUGGUUGCUUAAUCAGAUUUUGGAAAGAUAGUUGGUUGACAUACAAUUUUUUGAAAAAUAAUUUCCCUGUGCUCUAUCAAUAGGCUGUAAUCAAAGAUGUUUGGGUUGUUGAUCUUGGUAAUAUCUUCGGUCAACUUCAAUGAAUUUUGGAAUUCUUCAAUUUCUCGUUAACUGAUACUGAUAGAGAACUUCCAGGCUUUGUUUGACUUGUUACAACAUGUAUAGCUAAGGAGAUUGCUUUGACAAAAUUCUUUGGAGAUGGGACAAGAGUAGCAGUUUUGCUUCAACAAUUGUCAUAAGAUCUUCAGCUUCAGUGGUACUUUUUUUUGCUACAAACAUUUGGAACAAUCCAAUCUAA